AACUAACUCUCUUCUUGCCAGGCGGAGCAAUUUUCUCUUAAAGACGAUGAAUGAUUCACCGCCUUCCUAAUUUCUCACAAAACCGGUGAAUCAUUCACCGUCUUUCACUUAUUUACUGUUUCUUCCUACAUCCUAUAUAUAAUCGUAACAACCACAUAAAUAUUUCAACAAAUCACAUAUAAUCUUAACAACCUGAAAAUUCUAAUAAUCUAUCCAUACAAUCCUAACAAUCAAAAAAAUUCUAAUAAUCUAUCCAUACAAUCCUAAUAAUCAAAAUUACAUAUAAUCUUAACAACUUGAAAAUUCUAAUAAUCUAUUUAUACAAUCCUAACAAUCAAUAAAAUCCUAAUAAUCUAUUCAUACAAUCCUAACAAUCAAACAAAAAUUCUAAUAUUUCACACACAAUCCUAACAACCUCACUUUUUUUAUUUCUCGUAUAAUCUACGCACAAUUUUAACAACCUUAUUUUUUUUUCUCUUUCCCAAAAAAUUAUGAAGAAGACGGUGAAUUGUUCACCGUUUUAAUGAAUGCGGUGAAUGAUUCUCCGCCUUUAAAAGACCUUAGAGACUUUCAGAAUGCGGUGAAUGAUUCACCGCGUUUCGAGGAUUAGUUUGCCAAAUAUAAAUUUGAUAGGAUUAUUUCACAAAUUAUAAAAUUUUAGAUGGUUAUUGGCCAAUUUGCAUAAAAAAUCCACUAGUUUUGCACUUUUGCAAAAGUGGGCCGCCUUUUUCGAUUUUGCAGAUUCGGGCCGGAAUUUCAGCCGCCUGACCAAAAUGCCCCUCGUGUACAUCCGCCUCUUUUGUAUUCGGUGAGAUACGUAUACUAUAACGUACGGUCCUGGCGGGCAUUAAAUGUGCCUCUUGCGCUUUACGCAACCUCGCUCUCAUCGGAACCCAUACCAAAUCAGCCUCGCUAUUCGCCAGCCCCGGUGUUUGCUAUUCGGCUUUAACAAUUUAAAUAUGCCGAAGCUACAAGACGAAAACUACACCCUCGGUAAUAGCAAUAAUAGUGCAACGCGAAGGAGCAAAGCAAAGAGAAAUGGUGUAACAACCCUUCUAACAGUGCAUCUUUCGGCUGGUACCAGUGCAAUAUCCACCGCUCAGAUGUGCAACACUGGCAUUCAACCUUCUCUCUCACCAGAGCAACCUUCCACUCCCCCUUAAGGAAGGCAGUCUUGUACCUAAACCGCAAGAAGCGUAGAGGCGUAUAAUCCAGCACUCUCCCUCCUCCAUAGAAGCUUGGCAGUUUAUUCUAUCACUGUCUGCCGACUGCUGCGCUUGCAGAGGAGAAGUGGAAGAAGCGUCGGGGAGGAACAUGGCUUAAGAGUAUAGUUACGAACUGGAGAAGAGAUGAGGCAGGAGGGAGGAGGGGAACAAGGCGGUCACCAGCAAACCGCUACCAAAAGGCCCAGCAAGUAGCGCAACAACAGUGCAAGCAUGUACAAAAAGAGUGCAAAUUGUUAUUUGUAACUGGCGCUGCCGCCCAGUAGUAGUGCAAAAAAAGGAACGAAAUGGUGUAAUAUUCACCCAAUUAGUGCAAUUCUUAAUAAAAAAUAUGCCUCGCCCCAAACCCGAGGCGUAACAGACGCCGCAUACAUGCUAAACUAGCAAAUAUGCAAGGCUACGAAAUCAGACGGAAACUAGCGAAAAGAUGAUUACUAAUUUUCCACUAAAUUCAGAUAAUCAUAAGGUGAGACUAAGAAAUUAAAUUUUAACUAAAAUUAAAUGGAAUUCUAACAUCUAUAAAACUAAAGCUUACUACGAAACAUAAUAAAUUCGGUCCACUAAAUACCAUAAUUAACAAAGGUAGGUACGAAUAAAUAACGAAAUAAAAGCAGAUAACAAACGAUCAUUUACGAAGUCCAAAAAGAAAUAUUCACAUCUAAAUAUGCUAGGCAUAAAACAAAAAGGACUAAAAUCAAACUCUAGCUAUAUCUAACGCUCACUCGGUCCCGACCCCGCCUUGCGAAUCAGUCUGGAAACCUGGGUAAGCAACCAUACACCACAUUAGUCGGAUUAAGCAUACAAAUAAAUAAAUAAAUACAAAAAUAAUUCAAGAGACUUGUUUUUAAUUUGCAAAAUUUCAGAAAAUAAGAAUUAUAAAACUUAAAAUUCAGAUCAGAUUGAAACUAUAACUUUACAAAGCAUUUCUCUUUAAGCAAAUAACGAAAUAAAUAUUAAGUCUCCGGCAACUAACUAUAUCACAUGAUCCGUUGGCGAGAUCCAGAGGCACCCGAAGGCACAAACAGAACAGAGGCACCCGAAGGCGCAAACAGAACAGAGGCACUCGAAGGCGCAACCAAAACAGAGGCACCCGUAGGCGCAAACAAAACAGAAGCGUGAAUAGGCGCGGGCACCCAAAGGCGCGAUGCAAAGACGAAACUCGCUUCUAUAACAAAUUACAUGUCGACAUGGCCAACAUUGCAUAGCAGAAUACCAAGAGACAUCACAAUUCAAAAUUUAUCCAGUCACUAAUUUAUAGAACAAAUUAUCAAAUUUUAAAAAUUAUUUUUGCUAAAAGAACUUGUCAAUCACACUUGAAGCUCAAUUUACAAAAUAUUUAAUAAUAUGCUUAACCCUUAAUUUUAAAAUCUACAAAAUAAGAUUUUCACACAAUCAAAGUAUUUUCCUAAAUUAUUUAGCAAAAAGCUAACGGGUGUCCGGUCGCUUACCUCAAAAGCGGCUUCUAAGCUAAGAAGCUAUCCAGUCGAAAAUUGCACGAAAAUCAAUCGUCGGAACCUAAAAUAGAGAUAUGCGAUUCUCUAUAAGCUAACUAAAAAAUAAAAUUACAAAAAGGAUAUAUAUACAUUUAGAAGGCAAGCUUACACAAAAAUCUGAAUUCGGAUAGGUUCACAUAGGUCGACAAUGUCGGCUACCAAUGCAUGCAAAAAGGUCAAGACGGAGCACGAAAGAGAUUUAGAAUAAUACAUUCAACGAAACUCAAUUAGCAAUCAAGAGGAUGAUGAGUUUUAAGGAUUAGAAUAUUCAAAGAAGCAAGAUAAGAUGAAUGAAGUUUUAAAUAAUAAACAAAGGAUCUAAUGCUCGAAAAGAGGGUUUUCAGAUGUUGAAACAUUGAUUUGCAAAUCAAUAAUUAGAUAGAAUCAAAAUUGGAAACAAAACAAUAUAUGCCUUCUUUUUGGCAUUUUGUCGAACAUGUAAUGGACUCUCAAUAACUAUGUAGAAUAUGCAUAAUUUAUAUACCUAGAUUACAUAGAGAAUACAUGGUAAAAAAAUUUAAUAAUACGAUCAAUCUAUAUUUAGGUAUAUAGCAAUCAGAUUUGAACGAUCUUAGAAAUAAUCAUCAAAGAAGAACACCUAACAACAAUCACAUAUUUAUCGAUAAAAUUUAGAUGCUUUCAAGAAUGGGUGUAGAGACGAAAAUGAAAGGAAUAAACCUUCUUAAAGAUAGAAACGACGACGAUGAAAUGUCGUCGACGGCGAAUCAAAAAUGCCGAUGGAUGAGGAUUGCGGUGGUGGCCGCGAAUGACGGCGACGACGACAGUGACCGGAACGACGGCGCGGGUACGGGAGAGGGAAGAGGCUGUACGGACGUGAGGAGAAUAGAGUCGCUAAGAGAGAGAAAGACGGAGAAGAGAGGUGGGUGGGUGGCUGUUACGAAUAGGAAACAACAUGAAUUAGGGAUUAGGGUUAAUUUAGCACAAUAUGCCGCCGAGUCCCUCAAAAACUAGUAUUUACGAAAAGGUCCGAAUUUUAAAAGAAUAGGAGUCAAAAUAAAGGAAACAUAAGUGUGGGGUGUUACAUCCUCCCCUCCUAAAAAGAAGUUUAGUCCUCUAAACUUAACAUAUCUUAGCUCUCGAAGGACUAAGGAUACAUCAUUCUCGUCUGCUCUUCGAGCUCCUAAGUAGCUUCCCGUUCAGAAAGAUUGCUCUACUAGACUACUAGAAUAAAUCUAAAUAUUGUAUACUCAGACAAUGCUUUUACAAAUGCGGUCAAUCACAAGCUCAUCCCCGAAAGGCGCCCGACGCAUAAAAUAUAAACAAAGGGUUCGGAGGUUGACAAAUGAUUUCAAACAAAAGCAAAAGAGAUAAAGAAAUAAGUAGUUCUAGAAUCAAAGAGAACACGAGAAGAAAUAGAAGCUAUGGGAAGAAUACCAGGGACUACAGCAUUAGAUGCCCGGACAUCCUGCUGGGAGAGAGCCUGAACAUGACCUUGCGUCCGAGGUCUUCCACCUCUGGACUGAUCGAUAGGAGGGGCAUGUAUUGGAUUUUAUUGGGUUUGUUAUGAUUUAAAACUUGUUAAGGCCUCUUGAGAGCCAAAUAAUUGUUAAUCGGCGCUUGGGGAGCCCAACUAAAAUUUUCAUGUGUUAUGUUUAGUCCCACAUUGGAAACUAAAAGGGUGUUUGUUGUUUUUAUAUAUUCCCUUGUACUCAAGCUAGUUGCUUGGAAGAAAAUGAGAGUAAUGCUCUCGUUUAAAUACACACACGCACGGCACGAGCCGAGCCGGGCGGGGCGGGGCGGCGGCGCUCGCGGUCCAUACACCUGGUUUAUUUUUAUUUUGUCGGUUUUAUCUUUAUUUUAAUCCUUAUCUUUAUCUUUAUUCUAAUCCUAAUCCUUAUCCGUAUAAUCACAGGCUUAUCUUGUUCUACUCGGAUUUGACGCGUUGGAGCAAGAUUAUCGCCUUGAUUAUAAAUAUGGGGCGAGGUUGCACGAGUUGAUUAAUAACCCGAGCAUACCUAAAGCCUCUCGUCUUUUUCUACUUUCCGGAUUUUCGCCGAGUUUUCUUUUACUCGAUCUGAAGCUGGUUGGGUUCAUCUUGCACCACCUUGGAAACGUGCCAACGGGGUGGAACGUGGUCGUUGUAUCGCUAGAAGUAAUUGCUGGGAAGCCUCGCACGUGGAGGGGCAAUUUCGCUUCUAGGACAAUGCUCUGCAUGCCUCGAUCCAUAGGCCUUAUCUAAACCUUUUCUUUACCGUAUUUGUUAUUUAAUUUCGUUUCGGAAUUUUCCUAAACUUGUAAUUAAAUUUUCGAGUUGGUUUUUAAAGAAUAUUGUAAUAAAAGAUCAGAAAGAUAUUUUCCAACAAUCUAGAAGCGAAAGUUUUUAAUUAACUUAGUCUUUCUGUUUCUUUUAUUAUAGUAAUUAAAAUAUUUCUUUUCUACAAAUUAACAUAUAUCUUACUGUUACUUUUCUGAAAUUCAAAACUGUUUUUUGACAUAACAGUAGAAUUAAUUUGUGAACAGAUUUUGUUUUAUUAUGGAGGAUUCGACAAAACCGUUUACUUUUGAUGGUCAUAAUUUUAAGAGGUGGCAGAACCAAAUAAGGUUCUGGCUGACCACACUUGGGCUUGUUUUUGCUAUCUCGGAUUCUGCUGUGAAUGCCAGUGGAUCUGCACCUGUAGGUGCAACCCAGAAUGUGAUUAAUAGACCGCUUACUCGAAGCCAAGCCCAGACUGGAUCCACUCCUCCCACUUCUGAAACUGCAACUACAUCUGCAACUACAACCGCACCUCCCGUUGACCAUAACAUGAUCAAUUAUCAUUAUUUAAACCGAAUUCUUAGUACCCUAUCUGACAAAUUAUACGACAUCUACUGUAGUGCUAAGACAGCUAGGGAACUUUGGACAUCCUUAGAAAAUAAGUAUGGUCAAGUUGAUCUUACUCAGAAGAGAUACCAAGCGUCUGAUCUAAUUAAAUUUAAAUUGGUAGAUANGAACUUUGGACAUCCUUAGAAAAUAAGUAUGGUCAAGUUGAUCUUACUCAGAAGAGAUACCAAGCGUCUGAUCUAAUUAAAUUUAAAUUGGUAGAUAAUAAGUCCAUGUCUGACCAGCUUCAUGAUUUUGAGCAUAUAGUUGAGCAGCUUAGAUUUAGUAGUGUAGAUCUUGAUGAAAGUUUUUUAGUUGCCGCCCUUAUAGAUAAGUUGCCACCCUCUUGAUCGAACCAUGCAAAUGAUCUUAACCACAAUCAGAGAGAGCUAUCCCUGAAUUAUGUCCUAAGAUCCAUUAGGAUAGAAGAGUCGAACCGGGCUAAGGAUAAGAAGCCCAAUGAACCUACAAUCCAAGCCAACCUAGUAGAGAAUCCCAAAAAUAAUGGUAGAAACUUCCAGCCUCACCGAAACUUUAAGAAGAAGCCUUUCCACCGUAGAAAGUUCAACCCAAACUUUAAGAAACCUAAACCUGAGGAAAGUGGAGGCAAUUCUGGUUGUUUUGUGUGUAGGAAGAUGAAUCAUUUUGCGAAGGAUUGCUAUUUCCGCAAAAAUUGACCUUUCGUACCUAAGAAAAAGAAGGAAGCUCUACCUGAGCGCCAGUUGAAUAUGUUGACUGCAGCGUCUGACCCUUCUGACUCCACUAUCAGGUUAGGAUCUAGUUCACCCAAUGUUAACCUGCCCUAUAGUUCUUCUGAUUGGUGGAUAGAUACUGGAGCUAAUGUUCAUGCUCAUUCUGAUCGUUCGUGGUUUUCCACAUAUCAGGACUCGUGUGGAGAAUCGGUGAAUAUUGGGAAUGCAGCCUCUUCUCACGUGCUAGGGACAGGUCGAGUGGACUUGAAGCUGACCUCUGGGAAGACCUUAACCUUGCACGGAGUCCACCAUGUUCCCGACUUUAGGAAGAAUUUGAUUAGUGGUUCUCUUUUAGUUCAACAGGGUUUUAAGUUAGUUUUUGAAUGUAAUAGGGUAGUUAUAACAAAAGGAGUGAAUUUUAUUGAAAAAGGAUUUUUGAGUGAUGGUUUAUUUAAAUUAUCUGUAUCUUCUCCUUUUAUUAAUGAAAGUGCUCUUGUGAUGAAUGUUAUUUCUCCUAAUAUUUGGCAUGGAAGAUUGGGACAUAUGAAUUUUAAUACUAUCAAAAGAUUGAUGCAUCUCGAUUUGAUUCCUAAAUCUGAUUUAUCUGAUCAUAGAUGUGAAAUAUGUGUGCAAGCUAAGGAGCCUAGGAAACCUUUUAAAUCUGUGGAUAGAGAUUGCAAUCUAUUAGAAUUGAUGCACAGUGAUGUUUGUGAUGGAAGUAGACCUAGUAGAGGUGGAAAUAAAUAUUUUGUGACAUUUAUAGAUGAUCAUUCAAAAUAUUGUUAUGUUUAUUUGAUCAAAUCAAAAGGUGGGAUUUUAAACAUAUUCAAGAUUUAUAAGGCUGGAGUUGAAAAUCAAUUAGAUAAGAAAAUCAAGAUUUUGAGGUCUGAUUGAGGUGGUGAAUUUACUUCAAAUGAGAUGACUGCUUUCUGUCAAGAGUUUGGAAUUGUGCAUCAAGUGACUGCUCCUUAUACAUCUCAAUCUAAUGGAGUUGCUGAACGUAAGAAUAGAACUUUGAUGGAUAUGGUAAAUUCGAUGAUUAUUAGUUUAGGCGCACCCGAGAACUUGUGGGGGGAAGCUUUGAUUUCUGCAUGUGUGAUUUUAAAUAGAAUUUCCCACAAGAAUUCUAAUGUGUCUCCCUAUGAGCUUUGGAAAGGUAAAAAACUUAAUCUGAAUUAUUUUAAAGUGUGGGGGUGCCUAGCUAAAGUGAAAAUACCUGAGAAUAAGAAGAGAAAGAUUGGACCUAAGACCGUGGAUACAGUUUUUGUGGGUUAUGCACAAUAUAGCAAUGCAAAUAGAUUUUUAGUGGUGAAUUCUGAAAUUAGUGAGAUUUCUAACAACACUAUUAUUGAGGCUAGAGAUGCAGUAUACUUUGAGGAUGCUUUUCCUUUUAGAACUAGAGUAGAUAGACCUAUUUCAGCUGAGCCUAUAGGUAAAGAUGUCCGUGGACCGGGUCGGGUCUGGAUAAUUAAUAUACUGUACCCAUACCCUAAAAAGAAAUGGUUAUAAAAAAAUAUAUAUACCCUACCCAUUUAACUUCGGGUCGGGUCUGGAUCUCGGUACUAAAGUUACUAAUAUACCCAUCGGGUCUAUUUGAGCGGGUCUGGGUAGUGACUACCCGUAUACUACCCGUUCAAGAUCGGAUAUGGAUCGGGUUUAGAUCGGGUACGGAUAUCCGUAUUAAUAUAUUUUUUUUAUAAACUUUAUUAAAUAGUCAAUAGACAAACUAUAAAGCCCACCAUAAAAAAACUUGCAUUCUAAUAAAUUGUACCGUCCAAUAAAAUUCAUUCAAAAGAAAUAUUGUCGCUGAUGAUGAUGAUGACACUGAUGAUGAUGAUGACAAUGAAAUAUUGUUGGCGGAAAUGAAAUGAAAAAAAAGGAGUAGAAAACAAAGAGUAAAAAAAUUAGAAAAAAGUAAUGAGUAAAAGAGACGGCUAGGGUUUCAUUAGGAUGAAAAUACGUAGUGACUCAUCAUCUAUAAAUCAUAUUAAAAUUGAUCCUUCAACUUCAAAAGUUUAUUUUUUUUUAUUUACUAUCGGAUAUUUCAUCGGGUCCGGGUCCGGGUCCGGAUUUGAAAACUAUUCCGGACCCUACCCCUUUAAAAGUUAGGUUCGGGUCGGGUCCAAAUCGGGUAUGGGUAUAAAAUAUCCGGACCCAUACCCGAAACUUUAAUGGGUAAUUUUUUUUAUCCGUAUACUAUUCAUUUUUUAUCGGGUCCGGUUCGGAUCCGGUUCGGGUCCGGAUAGGGUCCGGAUCGGGUAUGGGAUAUCGGAUAUUUUGGACACCUUUACCUAUAGGUAGUUUUAGCAGACCUAGAAUUAGUGAACCUAUAGAAGAGACUGAACCUAGGAGAAGUAAGCGUCCUAGAGUAGCGAAAAAUUUUGGAGAUAAUUUUUGUGUCCUACUAGUAGAAGAUACUCCAUCUACCUAUGACAAAGCUAUGACGUCUGUAGAUGAAUCGUUUUGGAAAGAGGCUAUUAAUCUGGAGAUGCAAUCUAUUCUACAGAAUCAUACUUGGGAGUUAACUGAUUUACCUUUAGGAUGUAAGCUUGUAGGUUGUAGGUGGAUUUUUAAGAAGAAGUUGAGACCCCAUGGAUCUAUAGAUAAGUAUAAGGCUAGAUUAGUGGCACAAGAAUUUGCACAGAAGUCUGGGGUAGAUUAUUUUGAUGUUUAUGCUCCUGUUGCUAGGAUUACUUCUAUUAGAGUGUUGAUUGCCUUGGCCUCCAUCCAUGGUGUGGUUGUUCAUCAAAUGGAUGUUAAGACAGUUUUCUGAAUGGUGAUUUGGAUGAAGAAAUUUAUAUGAAGCAACCUAAAGGUUUUAUAGUUUCUGGACAUGUGAAUAAAUUGUGCAAGUUGAAUCGAUCUUUAUAUGGACUUAAGCAAGCUCAUAAGCAGUGGCAUUUGAAAUUUGAUUCUUUGGUUAUAUCAAAUGGUUUUCAUGUGAACAUGUUUGAUGAAUGCGUGUAUUCGAAAGAGUAUGAUGGACAGAUAGUGAUCUUAUGCUUAUAUGUUGAUGAUAUCUUGAUUUUUGGUACUAAUAUGAAUGUGAUAUAUGAUGUGAAGAAAUUAUUAAAUGAAAAUUUUGAUAUGAAAGAUCUUGGGCAAGCAUAUGUUAUUCUCAACAUGAAGAUCAUUAGAAAAUCGAAAGAAAUUAUUAUGAGCCAAUCCCACUACAGUGAACAGUUAUUGAAAAAGUUUGGAUACUUUGAUGUUAAACCUGUAGUGACACCUUAUGAUUCUAGUGUGCAUCUUCAAAAGAAUAGAGGAGAUCCAAUAGGUCAAAAUAGAUACUCAAAGAUUAUUGGAUCUUUAAGAUAUCUGGUAGAUUACACUAGACCAGAUUUGGCUUAUGCUGUGAACCGAUUGAGAAGAUAUACUCAUAAUCCAAAUAGAGAGCAUUGGAAUGCCUUAGAAAGAGUUUUGAGAUAUCUGGAGGGGACUGUAUCUUAUGGAUUACAUUACACUAGCUUUCCUGCAGUAUUUGAAGGAUAUAGUGAUGCUAAUUGGAUUAGUGAUACUGUUGAUAUAAAGUUGACUACUGGAUUUGUUUUUCUUCUAGGAGGAGCAGUUAUUUCUUGGAAAUCAACUAAACAAUCUUUGAUUGCUAGAAGUACUACGGAAUCUGAACUCAUAACCUUGGAUAUAACUGUAGCAGAAGCUAAGUGGAUUAGAGAGUUUCUUUAUGAUUUACCACUUAUGGAGCAACCUUUAGCACCUAUAUGUAUUCAUUGUGAUUGCAAAUUUGCUAUAGAUAAGUGUGCCCAAGAGAAUGUGGAGACGAAGAUGAAUAGAUUCAUGAAAGUAAGACAUAAGUUCAUUCGGCAAAAUUUGAAGGAAAAUGUGAUUGGAUUGGAAUUUGUGAAAUCUACAAAGAAUUUGGCUGAUCAGCUUACGAAGGGAUUAUCUAGGACAGUGAUCCUAGAAUCGUUGAGGGGGAUGGGGCUUAGCCCACAAUAGAAGUUACCGGCGAUGGCAACCCAACCUGUUGCAGGUUCAAUGGGUAGAAACAAGUCGAACAGGCAGCUAUGAGGAGCACUGUUUUUAUACCUCAUCCCUAUGACGAUAGUGCUCAUAUCUGCAAGUGGAUAGGAAGGGCAUUGGCUCUGAAUGGCUCCAAGACCUAUAAGGCAGGGUGUGACUUUGCAGAUACCCUUUGAGGACCUACUAUAUGUGUGGAGUCAUGAGGCCGCGACUAUGGGAAGAGGGUGGUUCCCUAAAACACACACGAAGCGAUACUAGCGCAUGGCCAUAAAAGCGCUCACCCGUUUAGAACCUAAACAGCUGUACCAUGUGUGCUAUUCGUGGAAAUCUGAUUCACCGGUCUUGGUUCAAGGCGUAGUCCACCAUUGUGCCCUCGGAUGUACAUUGACAAGCACUAAGUGAAGGUUCAAACCCGAAAGGUACCUUUACCGAAUACAUGGUAUAAAAGAUCCAGCAUUCUUUUGAUUUAUUUUGAAUUUCAGUUUAUUUGCUUUCUUUAUUUCAAGUUUUAAAUCAUGUGGGGGAAUAUUGGAUUUUAUUGGGUUUGUUAUGAUUUAAAACUUGUUAAGGCCUCUUGAGAGCCCAAUAAUUGUUAAUGGACCGCUUGGGGAGCCCAACUAAAAUUUGCAUGAGUGGUCCCACAUUAGAAACCAAAAGGGUGUUUGUUGUUUUUAUAUAUUCCUUUGUACUCAAGCUAGUUGUUUGGAAAAAAAUGAGAGUAAUGCUCUCGUUUAAAUACACACACGCAUGGCACGAGCACGAGCUGAGCCGAGCCGGGCCGGGCCGGGCCGGAAGGUGGCGCGCGCAGUCCAUACACUCGGUUUAUUUUUAUUUUGUCGGUUUUAUCUUUAUUUUAAUCCUUAUCUUUAUCUUUAUCCUAAUCCUAAUCCUUAUCCGUAUAAUCAUAGGCUUAUCUUGUUCUACUCGGAUUUGACGCGUUGAAGCAAGAUUCUCGCCUUGAUUAUAAAUAUGGGGCGAGGUUGCACGAGUUGAUUAAUAACCCGAACAUACCUAAAGUCUCUUGUCUUUUUCUGCUUUCUGGAUUUUCGCCGAGUUUUCUUUUACUGGAUCUGAAGCUGGUUGGGUUUAUCUUGUGCCACCUUGGAAGCGUGCCGACGGAGUGGAACGUGGUCGUUGUAUCGCUAGAAGUAAUUGCUGGGAAGCCUCGCACGUGGAGGGGCAAUUUCACUUCUAGGACAAUGCUUUGCACGCCUCGAUCCACAGGUCUUAUCUAAAUCUUUUCUUUACCGUAUUUGUUAUUUAAUUUCGUUUCGGGAUUUUUCUAAACCUGUAAUUAAAUUUUCAAAUUGGUUUUUAAAGAAUAUUGUAAUAAAAGAUCAGAAAGUUUUUCCAACAGCAUGAUCACGACCGGUUGGAGCAAUAGAUUUCUCCUGAGUCUUGGAUCCAGUGCCAGAGUCAGUGCUAAACACAGGGCAUUGAGCUAUUCGAUGGUUCAAAUCUCUACAACUGAAACAACCACCAGUGACGUGCCAGCAGUCCGAAUCCUUAUGCCAUCUACCACAAACUGAACAUUUCAGCUUCUGAUCUCGAUUUGGUGGUUCACCACGAGGAGCUGGUGUAUUACGCGACCUCCCCGAGUCAUUAGAUCUGUCAGAUUCUCUUGAAUUUCGAUCUCCUUCUCUGAAAGAAUCUCUAUUCCUUUUCUUUUGAUUUGCCUUUCGCUCUUCUUGAGUCUGCCUCCAUACUAAAUCCAAAGAUUUCGCUCUGGAAACGACAUCAUCAUAUGCCUCAAGGUGUAGCGGUGCGAGACCAGUGCGAAUAUGUCCAUUCAAUCAUUCCUCAAAUGUCUUAGCUCGUGACUCAUCAUCAUUUACCAGUUUUGGGGUGAAGUGGGACAGUCGGUCAAACCCAGCCUCGUACUUCUCCACAAACAUCGAACCCUACUUCAAAUCCAGAAAUUGUCUUUCAAGCUGGCGAAGCUUGCUCCUUGGAAAGUACUUUGCAUAAUCGAAAAUCCUUCCAUGAAAGGGCUGCUAAAUUAUUGCCGAGAGUUCUCAACUAGCUUUUCCACCAAUUAUUUGCUCUGCCUUGAAACAUGAACGUCCCGAAUCUGACUUUCUCCUCAUCUGUGCACUACAUGGCCGAAAAUGCCUUCUCCAUCUCUUUGAUCCAAGUUUCUGCUUCAUCCAGAUUUGUAGUGCCUGAAAAAGGUGGCGGUGCAGAUUUCUUAAACUCAUUGAUGCUCCUCUCUCGAACUCUGGAAUUCGACUCAGCGGCACUAGGAACGGGAUUCUGCUGCAAAUUCUGUUGCUGAGUCUGCACUAGUCCGACAACAGUUUGUAUCAGGGUGGCAACCAGGGGAUCCAUUGUGGUGCUCUGCGGUAAAGUGGCGGAGUGGGUGGGAAUAGUGGUUUGUGACGGAUGCGGAACGAAAUCGGGAAGUGUAGUCGACGGCGCAAAUGGAAUGGUAGUGGGAACAGUUGUCGAAGGCAUCCCUACACCAGUAGCCUGCUGCGGAGGUGGAGCAAAAGCCGAAGGAUUUAUCUGAGGUGCUGUCGUCGAUUGUAGCGGAUUCUGGAUAGUAGGUGGAACAGUGGUCUGAGGUGGAACAGCUGCCGAGGAUGUGGUAUGCAAAAGUGAGACUAAGGUGGUGUUCAGAUUUGCAUCUCCGGAUCUAGUUGGAGGUGGGUUCCUCGGUUGCUCAUUGUUGGUGUUGCUACGGCGGGACGGACGCACCAUCUUAUUAAAAGAGGGAUCACAAACACAUAAAUACAGGAUGUUAAUCAAAACUACAAAGUAGUAGCAAAACAAAUUCAAAUAUACGCUUACUUCUACCCAACCUCACACGUCCUAAUAAGCUCUCACAAUCUUAUACCUUAAAAGUUCCUAGAGAUCUUAAACCUAUUCUCUGAUACCAUUUCUCUGUCACGACCCAAACUCGAGGCGUAAUUAGACGCCACAUACCUGCUAAACUAGCAAAUAUGCAAGGCUACAGAAUCAGACGAAAACUAGCAAAAAGAUGAUUACCAAUUUUCCACUAAAUUCAGAUAAUCAUAAGGUGAGACUAAGAAAUUAAAUUUUAACUAAAAUUAAACAGAAUUCUAACAUCUAUAAAACUAAAGCUUACUACGAAACACCAUAAAUUCGGUCCACUAAAUACCAUAAUUAACAAAGGUGGGUAUGAAUAAAUAACGAAAUAAAAGCAGAUAACAAACGAUCAUUUACGAAGUCCAAAAAAAAAAAAUUCACAUCUAAAUAUGCUAGGCAUAAAACAAAAAUGACUAAAAUCAAACUCUAGCUAUAUCUAACGCUUACUCGGUCCCGACCCCGCCUUGCGAAUCAGUCUGGAAACCUGGGUAAGCAACCAUACACCACAUUAGUCGGAUUAAGCAUACAAAUAAAUAAAUAAAUACAAAAAUAAUUCAAGAGACUUGUUUUUAAUUUGCAAAAUUUCAGAAAAUAAGAAUUAUAAAACUUUAAAUUCAGAUCAGAUUGAAACUAUAACUUUACAAAGCAUUUCUCUUUAAGUAAAUAACGAAAUAAAUAUUAAGUCUCCGGCAACUAACUAUAUCACAUGAUACGUUGGCGAGAUCCAAAGGUACCCGAAGGCGAAAACAGAAUAGAGGCACCCGAAGGCGCAAACAGAAUAGAGGCACCCGAAGGCGCAACCAAAACAGAGGCACCCGUAGGCGCAAACAAAACAGAGGCGCGAAUAGGCGUGGGCACCCGAAGGCGUGAUACAAAGACGAAGCUCACUUCUAUAACAAAAUACAUGUCGACAUGGCCAACAUUGCAUAGCAGAAUACCAAGAGACAUCAUAAUUCAAAAUUUAUCCAGUCACUAAUUUAUAGAACAAAUUAUCAAAUUUUAAAAUUCUUUUUGCUAAAAGAACUUGUCAAUCACACUUGAAUCUCAAUUUACAAAAUAUUUAAUAAUAUGCUUAACCCUUAAUUUUAAAAUCUACAAAAUAAGAUUUUCACACAAUCAAAGUAUUUUCCUAAAUUAUUUAGCAAAAAGCUAACGGGUGUCCGGUCGUUUAACUCAAAAGCGGCUUCAAAGCUAAGAAGCUAUCCAGUCGAAAAUUGCACGAAAAUCAAUCGUCAGAACCUAAAAUAGAGAUAUGCGAUUCUCUAUAAGCUAACUAAAAAAUAAAAUUACAAAAAGGAUAUAUAUACAUUUACAAGGCAAGCUUACACAAAAAUCUAAAUUUGGAUAGGUUCACUUAGGUCGACAAUGUCGGCUACCAAUGCAUGCAAAAGGUCAAGACGGAGCACGAAAGAGAGUUAGAAUAAUACAUUCGACGAAACUCAAUUAGCAAUCAAGAGAAUGAUGAGUUUUAAGGAUUAAAAUAUUCAAAGAAGCAAGAUAAGAUGAAUGAAGUUUUAAAUAAUAAACAAAGGAUCUAAUGCUCGAAAAGAGGGUUUUCAGAUGUUGAAACAUUGAUUUGCAAAUCAAUAAUUAGAUAGAAUCAAAAUUGGAAACAAAACAAUAUAUGCCUUCUUUUAGGCAUUUUGUCGAACAUGUAACUGACUUUCAAUAACUAUGUAGAAUAUGCAAAAUUUAUAUACCUAGAUCACAUAGAGAAUACAUGGUAAAAAAAUUUUAAUAAUAUGAUCAAUCUAUAUUUAUGUAUAUAGCAAUCAGAUUUGAACGAUCUUAGAAAUAAUCAUCAAAGAAGAACACCUAACAACAAUCACAUAAUUAUCAAUAAAAUUUAGAUGCUUUCAAGAAUGGGUGUAGAGACGAAAAUGAAAGGAAUAAACCUUCUUAAAGAUAGAAACGACGACGAUGAAAUGUUGUCGACGACGAAUCAAAAAUGCCGAUGGAUGAGGAUUGCGGCGGUGGCCGCGGACGAUGGCGAUGACGAUGGUGCCCGGAACGACGGCGCACGCGGGUAUGGGAGAGGGAAGAGGCUGUACGGACAUGAGGAGAAUAGAGUUGCUAAGAGAGAGAAAGACGAAGAAAGAGAGGUGGGUGGGUGGCUGUUACGAAUAGGGAACAGCAUGAAUUAGGGAUUAGGGUUAAUUUAGCACAAUAUGCCGCCGAGUCCCUCAAAAACUAGUAUUUACGAAAAGAUCCGAAUUUUAAAAGAAUAGGAGUUAAAAUAAAGGAAACAUAAGUGUGGGGUGUUACAUCGUAGUCGACGACACAAAUUGGUAUCAGGGCCGAAUACCAGCCGGAAAUGUGAGAGCAAAGUGCUAUGCGGGGCAAAGUGCUACACCAACGGAUUUAGUGGGAGCCACCUCUUGAACCCGUAGGAGCCACCUCUAGAAUCUCAUUUCGCCUGGUAAUUUUGGUCUUGAUCCGUCUGUCUGUGAUCUGGUUUGGACCCGACGAGGACGUCAGGGUCUAAACAGGGGGAGUUUGUAACGCCCCCAAUAGUCCCACAUCGGGUGGGAUACUGAUUUUCGAUCGGUUUAUAUGAGGCAUACACGCUAGUAAUAAUAACUGGGCUUAAGCAUUUUGGGCCGGUGGUUUGGGCCCAACGAGUUAUUGUUGCUGGCGGGUCGGGUCGUUGCAAAAUAUUACAACAAGUCUACAAGCAGUGCAAAAAAAAAAAAAAACUCCCCCCUUAGUGCAAUUUGUAAUAUACACCAAACUAGUGCAAAUUUUUCUAUAUAUUUGCUGAUAAUAUGAAGGUAAUUGUGCAAAUAUGUUCGUAAAUGGUUCUACGACAAAAAUAAUGCAACAAUCUUUCAUAAAUAGUGUAACAAGUCCCUAAGCAGUGCAAAUUGUUCUCUAUAUUUGGUGCUUGCAUGAAGUUGUAGUGCAAACAAAUGUGUAAAUGGUGUAACGAAGACGAAAAUAGUGCAACGUUCUUUGAUAAGUAGUGUAAUCAUUCACUAAGCAGUGCAACUCCAUUAUUUUGCAGUCGUCGUAUGUUCUCAUCGUCAUCGUCAACUGUUGCUUGGGUAGAACCGGUACAAUUUCCCAAAUGGUAGAAAAUAGAAGCGAAAAGAAUAAGGCAACUGGCCAUCUCGUGCUCGAAAACAUAUUUGUAUUCAUCUAUGAACGCUUCAGCGCUCUCGGUGUUUGCAAAAGAUAAGUCGAAGAAGUAUAGCAGCAUUGAGGAGGAAAGGGGGUGUAACUUUGACUUAAGAACUGCAAUGAAGUAAUGCUAAUGGUGUAACUUGUAUAUAAUGCUCACUGUAAACGGUGUAACGAAGACUAAAACACUGUGUAUGCAGGAACGAAAAUAGUGCAAUGUGCAAAAACGAAAGCCUACAGUAAUGCAACGGAGGUAUUAGUUGUAUAUCCGGUAAGUAAUAGGAGAAAAGACUCAUAUUAUCUUUGGGUUCUGUAGCACCGCUUUCCAUUACCGAGGAGUGGUGUAAGAACAUACCUCGGGGAAUGAGCGUAAGCGUAAUGAUUUUGCUGACGUCUUAUUCGUGUAUGGUUGAAAAAGUAAAAACUAUAAUCAAUGCCAGUAAAAUUAUUCGACAACAGUUUGAAUUAAUAGUGCAAUAUGCCUCAAAUUAGUGUAAGACAUGUUGAAAAUAAUGUAGUGAGCGAACCAAAUGGUGUAACUGACGCCGAGGUGUUGCAACGACGGUCGGCGGGAGAAGGCCGUUACCAAUUUGCCACCAUCUCAGCAAUGUUGUAAUCGUAAGCGAAUUAUAGCGGGAACGGACCUUCUGUUUCCCGCCGUAACCAGAAAAGUUUUACUCAUCUAAUCGAACUAGAUCAUAUAUGUAUACACAUAAGCUGUUGCACUAUCUGCACUACUUGCACCUAAUACUAUUUCUUCCAACUCAUCCUCAUAGAGAACGCUGAAGUACAAGUUCACUGUCAUUUUAAUGGCUUCUUCGAUGAGGAUGGAGGAAACGUGAGGUACGUAGGAGGAAACUGCCGCCUCGCUUUUCUUGGUGAAGGGGAGACUGUUAAGGCCUUGGAAGCGUGAUUCUUCAAAUGCAUGAAUACUUCACAAGAGAGGUGUAAGAUCCAAAUUAUGCUUAGCUACGCUGGAAAAAUAGGUAACCUUAUCGAUAUUGUAGACGGCGAUGAUGUCCGAAGCAUAUUGAAACUGUAUAGCAACCACACAUUUGCACUUAUUGAGCUAUAUGCGGUGAGCAACAGAGCUGCUAGAGAGGUUCCUACUUGUGAGCCUGACGAGUUAGAUGAGGCGCUUACUGACGAACGAUUGCAAAUCUUGAUAAGUAGCCGGUUAGCAGAAGAUUGUUCGCCUAUACCAUCAAAUGUUGAACCGGUUGGAUCGUGAGUUGCACGUUGUUAAUCAAUUGCACUGAUACUCCUAUUAUGUUGCACAAGUAAUCUUACUAAUGUUACACUAUUCUUGUAGAAUCUUGCACUCUUUUAUCUUUACAUUUCAUUACAUUGCACCAUUUGUGUUUUAACUAAUUCAUUGUAUUGCACCAUUUGCAACUGUUCUGCAGAUCCUGUCAUCCUAUUAUCAUCGACGAGGAGACGGACAGUGACGGUGAUACUUGCCUCUUUGAUAUGAAAGAUGACAUGGAAUCUGACGACAGCCUCCGUAUUGUCAUAUCUCCGUCGAUUGACUCUCACCGGACGUACAACGCUAUUGAUGUUGUCCCGUUGAGCCAAUAUGAAGAAUUUGAUCCAGAGGCGUAUGAAUCCAAGCUGGAGGAAUAUCUCGUGGUCAACAGCGCUACGCCGGAGGCUGUCCGAACUGUCGUUGAUGUGGAUGAUGUCCAUGAGGGCCAGAUUUCCAAUACGCAAGCCGAUUUCAAGAGAGCUAUUAAGUCCUAUGCCAUGAAACGAGGUUUCGAGUACGCCCCCACAAAAUGCAACGAGUUUAAAAUAACGGUGAGAUGCCAUGUCACUGAUUGUCCGUAGAGAAUCAAGGCCCGUCAUUUUCCAGGACUGAAUCAGUGGUGGGUGAAGAAAUUUGAUUCCAAGCAUACGUGCAGCAGGGCAAUAGGAGGUAUAGGGCAUUGGAGUUGCGAUAAGGAAUUUAUCACCUCUGUAAUUUGGGAGCAGGUCAUGGCGAACGAGAAUUACAUGCCGAAGAUGAUACAAACUGAGAUACAACGAUCUUACGAUACAAGAAUAUCUUAUUGGAAAGCCUACCGCACCAGAGAAAGGGUCCUUCAGACGGUCCACAGAGAUUUCGAGGGUUCCUUUGCUGCAUUUCUAGCGUACAUGCGAGAGCUCAGGUUGGGCGACGCAAAUGCAUGCAUUCAGCUAGAAUACUACGAUGAAGGAAGUUUCCACCAGUUCUUUUGGGCAUUUGGUGCAUUAUUCGUGCAUUUCGGAAGAACUGCAGGCCGCUUGUUGGACUGGAUGGUAUGAACUUGCACAAUUAAGCCAAAUUUCACACCUUUGUAUAUAGUAGUUGCACUAUUUUCUCUACAUUUGAUGUGAAAUAAAUUGUUUUGCAUGAUUAUGACCUAACAUACACUGUUUGCCUUACUUCCAGGUACUUUCCUAACUGGUAAGUAUAGAGGUGCUCUGCUGACGGUUUCGUGUAUCGAUGAAAAUAACUAUAUACUGCCAUUGGCGUGGGCAGAGGGAGAAAAUCGAUAUUCCUGGCGCUGUUUUCUAGAAUGGAUGCGGGAUAAUAUCGUUGUGAACCGUGAACUCCAUGGACCAAACAGUGUCAUUACAUUUAUUUCCGACUGUCAAAAGGGCCUCAUUAAAGCGGUAGGUGAUGUUUUCUCGAAACAUACCCACGGUUACUGGGUAUACCACCUAUCCACUAAUCUCCCGCACAGGUCGAAAAAUACCCCAGCGUGGAGAAGGUUUUGGCUGUUGCGGGUGCUUACACCGCCUCAGAAUUCAAUGAGGUAAUGGAGAAGAUAAAAGAUUUGAACCCCAAAUAGUUCAAGUAUGUGUCAAAGCUUCUUUGACACAGGUGGGCUACCCAUUGCUUUCUUGGCAGGCAUUAUUCAAUGCUCACUUCCAACUAUGCUGAGACGAUAAACAGUGCGAUACGACGUUUAAAGAGGCUUUCAAUUACAUACCUCGUGGAGAAAACGCGAAAGAAAAUGGCAUCGUAUUUCUACCGGAGAAAAGUGGCAGGGGAGCAGAUGACGAGCGUUUUAACGCCCUAUGUAGAGAAGAUCAUAGAGAGCUCAAGGGAAGUGUCUCAUUUCUACACCCUAAACCCAUCGACAGAUGUCCUUUUUUAGGUUUUAUCAUUUUAUUUGCACCAUUUUAAAUUAUAUUGCAUUACUUUAGUAAUUUGUUGCACUAAUGUUGAAAGGUAUUGAAUUAUAUCAUAGCUAUUUGCACUAUUGCUAUCACAGUUUGCACUAUUUCUUAGACAUUGCACUAUUUCUUGCAUGUAUGCCAGUGCCUUAUGUUUUUAUAUGAUAGGUAAUCACUCUGGCCACCAUGGAGGUUGUGGAUCUAUCUAAGUGGACAUGUUCGUGCAAGCGCUGGGACAGUGACAGCAUCCCAUGUACUCAUGCCAUGGGAGCAAUCUCAAUGAGAAGGUCCGAUCCAUACGAUUUUGUUGAAAAAUGGUUUAAGACUACUACCUUUCGAGAAACGUACAACGACUACGUCCCCCCGACAAGAGGCAAAGAGCACUAGCCACCUCUGCCAUCCACCGUCGUGCCGCCGCGGCCUCCGAACAUGCACAUACAACCGGGAAGAAGGAAGAUUGCGCAGAGAGAGCCGAUUGCUAAUGGCUUCAUUAAAAAGCAUUGCUGUAAUUGCCAAAGGUGGGGUCACAACAAGUGAUCAUGCAAGAACCCUCCUCAACCCAGAGGGAAGCAGCCGGUGGAGGAAAUUAAAGCCGUCAUGGCUGCAAGUGCGGGUGGUCCCCACGGCGGCGGCGGCAGAAGGGGCGAGAGGCAAGUCAGUCAUCGACAAGGAGGCGGCUGUUGUGACGGGUACGAUCUAGCACAUCGGCGUUAAGAUUGACUACCAUUAUGUGGAGUGCUUCAGUUACUGCGAGCCCAUUAGUUCUCUUCUCUUCAAGUUUCAAACAUUUAUUCAGGUUUGCUUAUGUUCUCAUUUAUUUAUAUUUUUUACUCAACAAUGAGCCUGUUUUCGACCAUUGUAGAGCGGUGAUCCAAAGGGCUCGGAGCAAUUGAAGCGCUUUAGGUAGUGCGAGUCGAUCUUAAUGCUGAUCUGCUUGGUCCUACCCUUCCCAACAGCAUCCUCCUCCUCGACCACUCCUUCGCCUCACUCCCCUUCUGCAGCGGCCGUCGUCGACACGACCACCGCUGCUAACCACAAUGACUUUAGUUUCUGCCCCCUCGCAACCACUGGCUGGGCAGCUGAAACAAAUGUGACGAGAAAGAGUUGCGGACGCCGCCGCAGCCGCAGCCACAGCGACUUGGGAUGAGAAAUACGACGACCCUCCUCCUCCGCCGCCGCAUCGCUUGCGUUUGGUGGGGACGCCCUUCGUCGCCUUCACCUCCUUGACUAAAAGUAGUGUCGCCCUGUGCAUGGAAGUGCAAAAAAUGCCAGAUGAUCUCUAUUAUUUUGUUAAAUGUUUAGAGAAAACGGUAUCUUGUAUACAAAUCCUGUCUUUUAUGUUGUAAAGUACUAUAAAAUAGUAUAAUUUGCAUCAAAUAAAGUGUAAUCCUUGCCCUAGAUUAAUAGAGUGCAUUUUCUAUUUCAAUAAUUAAUCUUCUUCUUAUUCUUUUGGCUUCUAUUUUCUACCCUUUGAGAACUUGACUCUUUGCACGAUUUCUUUUAAACCAUUGCACUAAUUAGGAAUAUGUUACACCACUUAGAGCCUUUUUUUGCACUACUACCUUCGUGAUAGCACAACAUACAGAUAACAAUAUGCUCUUUUUUAGACAUGGUUAAAACUAUUGCACUAAUUAGGUAAAUGUUACACCGCGGAACCCCCUCCUUUCUUCUCUCUCCUCCCUCCUCCACUUCCAGACCCUAAGCCAUGUCCCUCGGCCACACUUCUUCCACUUCUCCUCUACAAACAAGUGUUGGAAUGAACUCCCCUACGCUUUUUACGGUUUGGGAAGAAGAUAGCCUGAUUGCCUUCUGAGGGAGUGGGAUAUUGCCCUGGUGAGGAGAAGAUUGAACGCUAGCGUCGCACUAUUAAAUAUGGAAGUUUCACUAUUAGAAAGGUUGCUGCACCAUUUCUUUUCACGUUGCUCUUUUGAGUUGCACUAUUAUUCUUAUCGCCGGGCGUGUAGUUUUUAUCGUGUAGCUUCAGCAUAUCUAAUUUCUAAAAGCCAAACAGUAAACACCGGGGCUGAUUUGGUUCGCAUUCCGAUUAGUGGGAGGUUGCGUAGAGAUGCUCGGGGCGCAUUUCAUGCCCGGCCAGACGGCGUGCAUUAUGGUAUACGUAUCCGAGGGAAUAUGCGAGAGGCGGAUGGAGACAAGGGGCAUUUUGGUUAGACGACAAAAAAUUCAGUUCGAAUCUGCAAAAUCGAAAAAAUGGCCCAAUUUUAUAUAAACUCAAAACUAGUGAAUUUUUUAUGCAAAUUGGCCAUGAUUAUUUUAUAAAGUCCGAAAGAAAAUAAGAGAGAGAGAGAGAGUGAGAGAAAAUAAGAGAGAGAGAGAGAGAGAGAGAGAGAGAGAGAUGGGUUGCUUUUUUUGCGCCGGCGAGAGAGAGAAUCCGGAAAACAACAAGGAUCAGAUCAAACCUUUCUCCGCAGGUAUUCCCACUCCCCUUCAUGUUGAUCGCCUCCUCCCAAAUUUCAUUUUCUCUUUUUUUUCUUUUUCCUUUUCAUAUUUGGUGUUUCUUUUUUUUUUUUUUUUUUUUCUUUUCCUUAGUGUUUCUAGAGCUAUUUAGAAUCGAUUCAAUCGAUGUUUUGAGGCCUCCCCUCCCAAUUUUCUCUUCUGUCGGUUUGGUUCGGAUUCAAGCUAAUAAAUUGGAUUUUCUUUCUCUUUUUUCUUUGUAAUCACAAUUUUUUUUCCCCUCCCUUAUUUCUAAGGAAUUUUCUAUUUUUCUUCCUUACUGGAGACAUGUUUUUAGUUAAGUCUAUGGAAUAGUAAUUCAUAUUUUUAGGUUUAUUGUGGUUAGAUAUAAAUCAAAUCUUUCUCUAUUGUGUUUAAUGGACUUUUUUUUGGAUUUGAUUGUAGAUAGAUAAAUUUUAUAUACAAUAUUAAGUCCUAAUUGUGCUAGAACUUGCAAAUCAAAUGGUAAGAAAUGAAAUAUUGUUCAUUAUAAUUUAUUUUAUUGGUAACUCUUUGUAACUCAAGUAUGUAAUUGCUUCAGCAGACUGUAAAGGCUUUCCUGUAAUUCUUUUCUCCUUCCUCUGUUUUAGAAGAGAAGUCCAAAUCAAAUUUCCAACUGAAUGUGAGGAAGCAGAAUUCAUUAGAGCUGAAGAGAGGGCCUUCGAGUAAUGGAUCGGAACGCGCGGUGCAGACGUUUACUUUUCGUGAAUUGGCGGCGGCGACUAGGAAUUUCAGGGCUGAUUGCCUUCUCGGGGAGGGCGGAUUUGGGCGAGUUUACAAAGGCCGCUUAGAAAGCAUAAGCCAGGUUAGAUUGUUAAACUUUGCCUUUUGGCCUUCCAUAGUAAUUAUCGUAUUGUGCCUAUUUGACUUGACUUCUGAAACAACUUUUCUGCACUAAGAAGCAUAAGCUUCUAGAAACAAGAUUGGAGAUUGUGUCACCUGGAGUUACUGUAAGACUUUUGUCUAUGGUCUUGCAGCCCACUCUACUAGAUACUAGUAUGAAACUUUUGCUUUUCCGGGAAGCUGAUAACAUGAGCUUUUUGGGCCUUGAAAGCUGUUAGUUCCAAUUUGAAGCCUUUUUGUUCUGUUGUGGCGAGAAGUUGCGGAGGAGAUUUUGAAUGAAGAAGCCUGUAGAUCUUCUUCAAACAGUUCACGUGUUUUGUGUUUGAUUAUUUCUUCAUGUUUUAAUAUAUGGAAACUAGAACUGAUUAGCAAGAGUAUUUCUCAUGUAAUUUUGUAACAUUUUGUUACCAUGAUUUCUCCACUUAUGCUCGCGGUAGAAAGCGAAGUUCUGAAAAAUAUAUGUCAUUUUGUAACACGUAGCGUGCUCACGGCCAUAUGUUUGUUUCUUACCAUCGUGAACAGAUUGUCGCCAUAAAACAGCUCGAUCGAAAUGGAUUGCAAGGGAACAGGGAGUUCCUUGUCGAAGUCCUGAUGUUGAGUUUACUCCACCAUCCUAAUCUCGUUAAUCUAAUUGGUUAUUGCGCUGACGGAGAUCAAAGGCUUUUGGUCUACGAGUACAUGCCAUUAGGAUCAUUAGAAGAUCAUCUUCAUGGUAUCCUUGUCACAGCCCUCUUUGUUGUUACCAAUUUUCCAACAUAAUAUUUUCCCUACGAGGGCUUUUACACGUAUAUAUGUACCCCUUGAAAGUGCAUCUUCUUACAAAAAUAGCUUUAAGUUAGGGAAUCAUCCAAUUUGCAGGGACAAGUUGGUUUUAUUUUAAUAAAAGAUUUUUUUCGAAGAGGAGCAAUAUAAGAUGCAGGAAUAUGUCUAAGAAUUGACGAUUUUGUCAGCAGGGGUAUAUGUUUUGAAGAUAAUUUUGUUGGGUUGUAUGUCUAAAUAUGUUUUUGUUUACAAAUUACAUUAUUAAAUAUGCUGUAUUACCUGCUUACAAAUUUUGUUGGUUGCAGACCCUUCUCCAGAUAAAAAGAGUCUCGACUGGAAUACUAGAAUGCGAAUAGCUGCCGGUGCAGCUAAAGGAUUGGAGUAUCUCCAUGACGAAGCCAAUCCACCCGUCAUAUACCGCGACCUAAAGUGCUCAAAUAUUUUACUCGGAGAGGGAUACCAACCCAAACUCUCAGAUUUUGGUUUGGCGAAGCUCGGCCCUGUUGGGGAUAAUACCCAUGUAUCCACUAGGGUCAUGGGUACAUAUGGCUAUUGUGCGCCAGAGUAUGCUAUGACCGGACAGUUAACCCUAAAGUCCGAUGUUUAUAGCUUUGGGGUCGUUCUGUUGGAGCUUAUCACCGGGAGAAAAGCUAUUGAUAAUUCUAGGGCUGCGGGGGAGCACAAUCUUGUUGCAUGGGUAAGAAAACCUUCUAUUAUUUUCUCUCUUAUGUUGGUUUGAAAUCAUUUGAAGUAUGUUACCCAUGGAGAGGAAAGCAGUUUUGGGAGGUUACUUUGAGUCUCCUUUGAGUGUUUUAUUCUACUACAAGAUACAGAUUGAAAUGAAAUUCUUCGGUAUUCUAUACUUGUCGGCAUAUAUAGUUUAACUGCCUGGUUGGCUAAUGGUUAAAGCAGAGAUUAAGCGCUAGGAAAAUAAAAGCACAAGCUCUAAUUCGAAAUUUCUACUUUUGCUGUGGUAAGAAGCUGUGAAGAAAAUUUUAGUGGACAAGCUAUCGGCGUGGCUUCUCCGAAUAGCUCUGAAUCCCGAAUGCUGAAAAUAUGUUUUCCGCUAGGCUUAUAAUAGUUUUGGACAGGUUAAUGCAAUAAAAAAAAAAAGUCAUCUUGUUCAAAUGCACUGCAUCCCUAAUGCAAUAGCUCUUGAAGUACUAUCUUGUUUACUUCUAUGUUAUGUGUAUACGAAUGCAUUACAACUUUAAAUUGCAGGGACGGCCUUUAUUCAAAGAUCGAAGAAAGUUUCCUCAAAUGGCUGAUCCGAACCUUCAGGGCCAAUACCCGGUGAGGGGAUUAUACCAAGCCCUGGCCGUCGCAGCCAUGUGCCUUCAAGAGGACCCCGCGCUGAGACCUCUGAUAGUCGAUGUCGUUACAGCACUUACUUAUCUUGCUUCGCAAACUUACAACCCGGAAACUCAACCCACCUCAAACAUGCCCCGUCUCUCGUGGCCGGGUACUCCCCCGCAGGCGAGGAGGGGCGUCGAAAGGAAAAUGAGCGGCGGAUCAGAGAGACAGCGAAGUCGAGUGGAUUAAAUGAGGAUUUUGGAGCAUUGGGGGUUGUAAAAUUUUGGUCUUUUGGCUGUCAAUCUGGUGUCUGGUGAUCAACAUCGGUAUUCAUCUUUGGAAAGACACUUCAAGACUAUUCAGUAGUACUUUCUGUUUCCACUUUUGUAUAUGUUGCUCUGGUCUUUGUAUGUAUGUUGUGUUAAAACUCUGAAUCUAAAUUCAUAUUAUUAUUACUAUAAUUAGUUAUUAUUUAUUUUUUUUUCCGAAACUCAUAGCAUAUGUUGCAAGUGAUGUCGUGUUUUUAUUUUUGUGAUAUUUAAAUAUAAAAUUAUUAUGUUAUUUUUGAUUAUAUCCUCUGCUGUCUUAUCUGGCACAACAAGAUCAGUUUGGGAUAUAUUUUAUGUGAUAUGGCCAUUACAAAAAGAGACAUUUUUGUUUUUCCCUUAGAAUGACACUAAUAGUUUGAAAAGUGCCUUAAAGCAUGAACCAAUCGACUUGUGCCAUGUAAGAUUACCAAGAUAUGGAUGACUUGGUUAAUGUUGUUGGGCAUCCUUAAUGCAGGCCUAAGGGAAACUAGGAUUCAAACUUGGGUCUUGGGUACCAACCACCAUGCCCCUUGCCACUUGCUCUAGAGACGGUCGGUGUCUUUCUUGCAACAGUUAUUACAAAUAAGAUAUCUUUCAAACUAUUCAUAUUUUGUCCGAGUGAGAUAGAGCAAAAUCCAAUAAGAAGCAAAAUAGAAUUUGCACAUUAAGAUAAUGUUUUAAUUUUUUUGUAUCUUCAUGUAAUGUGGAGAUAUUUGAUUGGACAAUCCAAAUGCCAAUCAAAAUGAUUUUAAUCCCUACAAUCCCUCAUUCAAGGGCGGUAGGGUUUACUAACCCUUUUUUUAUUCUUACCCAAAAAAAGUAAUAAAAUUUUUAGAGAAAAGAGCAGUGUUAGCUGUACAUCCUAAUCUGGAGUGUACAUCUUACAAUCAACAAAUCAGACGGCUACCAUUAUUUUAAUUAUUUUAUUCAAAAAGCAAUUGUUAUCCUUACCAUUUAUUGUAGAGAGAGAGAGAGGGAGGGGGGGAGGAGGGAAAUAAGAAAAGCAGUGGGUCAGUAAAAUAGAAAGUGAGAAUUAAAACUCAAUUUAAAUUGGAUUAAUCUGAAUCAUCUCUGUUUCCGCUGUAAAAUAUACAUCCCAAACUGAUAUAUACCGGUAAACCUUUCCUUGCUUAUAUAGUAGUCGAUCACUUAAAUUAUAAAACGCAUAACUCUUGGCUUUUUAAAUUUUAAUGUAUUGUAAUUUUUUACUGCAAUCAAAUUUUACAAUGCAAAGUAAUUCGUCAGAUAGUGAUGUGCUGCUGAUGUGACAGUAAUUUAGUAUUUUAAUCAUUCUCACAUUCUCAACUAUAAUAUUACUAUAUUAGUGGUACAUUACCAGCACAUUAUAUAUUACUUAAUUAACUAAAAUAUAAUCUAAAAUUUUAUUGUUACAAUUUGCAAAAUUUUAAUCUAAAUUUAAUAAAUUAAAAUUUAACGAUCGAAAUAAAGAACGAAUUCCAGUUUGAAGACCGAGGGCACCUUUUAGCAAAGAGAAAAGAGAAAGAGGAAAAGAAAAAGUUUGACGCCGGUUGGGAGCAAUAAUUUGGUUUGGCUGUAGGAGAGAAGAAUCCAGCCGGCACGGAAGGACUUGUUUGAAAAGCAGAGGUCGUACGUCUGGCGUGCUAAUCAGGAAACAGCAUCCGCACGGAAAUAUUUGGUUUUGUUUUGUUUUUUUUUAAUGACAACGAAAUUUUGAAGUUGGAUAAAAUUUUGGAAAAACUUCAAAUAUUAUUUAUGUAGUUUCAUAUUUUUUUACUCUAGUAUUUUCUAGUUUAAAGUGUAUCAAUUUAGUGUCUUGUAGUUUUAUUUUUAUUUUUUUAUUAUCAAUUUUAUUAAUUUUUUUUGUUAAAUCAGUAACAACGUUAAAACUAAAGAGUACUAAAAGCGAAUAUUUGAUAACCCUAGAUGGGGUAUCUGAAGUUUUUUGUAUAUAAUUUAACAAAAUAUUAACAAACAAACUGACGAAAAGAUAAAAAUGAAACCAUAGGACACUAAUUUGAUACACUUUAAACCACAUGGUAUUUAAGUGAAAAAGUGUAAAACUAUAUGGAUGGUAUUUGAAGUUUAUGCUAAAAUUUUAAUUAGAAGCAGCUAGAUGAUAUUUUGAAUGCAUCAUGAUUUCAAUCUAUACAGUUUUAUAAAUGAUAUUUUAUAGGAGCUGUUACAUGUUCUAGUGUGAUAAGAUAGGCGGUCUAUUCUUUAAUUUGAUUGCACCCUUUUUAAUUUUAUUGUUCAAUUUUAUUUCUUUUUCCUUCUUAUAUAUUUAUUUUCAUGCUCCAUGUUAAUGUACAUAACAAUUGACUAAUUAGAUAAAACUAAAGGUAUAUAUAAAGUUUACUCUUUUCUCUUGAUUUGUUUAUUUUCUCAUCUAACUUUUUUGCAAUUUUCGCUCCAAAAAAUUAUUUUUUCUAUAAAGUAUUCUCUUUUCUUAUCAUUGUUUUUUUUUUUUUUAUACUUUUUAUCUCAGAUUUGUAAGUUAAACUACUUUCUUUUGGUGAUAGCUUUUCAUAUUAAAAGUUGCUGUAAUACACAUAAUUAUAUAUUUUUAAGAGGCAAAAAAUGUAGUAAUCUUAUAAAAUCUUAUAUAAUAUAAUUAAUAGCAUAAAAAAAUUUAAAAUCGAUGCAUUCAACAAAUAUAAGAGAUACAUGUAUAAUGAGUUGUACAACAUCUUCUAUUUCUAUCAACCGUCCCUAGAGCACGUGGCAAAGGACUUGGUGGUUGGUACCCGAGACCUAAGUUCGAAUCCUAGUUGAUUCAUAUUUCCAGCUAAGUUUAUUUUUAAAUGAAAUAAACGAAGCGGGUAGCGUGCUACCUAUCUCUCAAAAAAAAAAAAAAAAAAUCUUCUAUUUCUCAACAUAAAUGGAGGGAUUGCUGAUAAAUCUACUGAAUUAGUUCAGUUAACAAAAUUGAUCCAAGAUUAUAGGCCUCAAAUAACACAUUUGGGUGGCAGUAAAUUAAUGCACCAUUAACCUAUUAUAAAUUGGGAGUAUUAGAUUUAAAUCCUAAAAUCCAAAUUUAGAAUCCUAUUUGAUUCAGAUUUAAUACCAAUUUUUUACAAUUAUUUAUAAUUCCACAAAAUAUUUAAUUGGUUUCAAUCCACAGUGAAUUCAGUAUGAUCUUGAAGAUUGAUUUAACAAUCAGAUGUUUGUUUAAAUGACUCUUGAGAUCAAUUUAUUAUUCAGACUGACUUCUUGAACAGCUUCUAUACUCUACGGGCGCGUUUGGUUCAAAAUGAAAAAAAAUAGAAUGGGAAUGGGAAUCGGAAUGGGCAAGAGUCGGAAACGGAAUGAUACAACCUCCUAAUAUGUUUGAUUCAGUAUAACAAUCGAAAUCGGUAUAGUUGAUUCGUGCUUUUAAUAUUUGAAAAUUUUGAUUAUAAAAAAACAAUUAAAAUAAAAUUAAAAUAAAAUUAAAAUACAAAAUAUAAAAAUAAUUUAAAUUUAGUUUGCACCUCAAAAUAUAAAAUUAAAUUUAUAAUUUAGAUUCAAACUAAAAGUUAAGUAUUAAAAAUUUACAUCAAAAAAUUGAAAUGAUAAGCCGAAAUUUUAAAUCUAAUUUUUUAAAAAAAUAAAAUUUAAAAUUGAGCGGACUAUUCAAAAUAUAAAACUAAUUUUUUAUUUGAUUCAAAUUCAAAUUUACAACUAAAUUUACAUUUAAAUUUAUAGAUCAAAUUCAAACUGCUUCAUUGAAUUUAUAUAAAAUUUAAUUUAAUUUCUAAAUUAAAAUAUAGAAUCAAAAAUUUAAUUUCUAAUUUAAAUUUAUAUUUUAAUUAAAAAUUAAAAUCAAAGAGUUAAAUUUAACUUUAAAUAAAAAUAUAAAAUAUAAAAUAUAAUUGAGAUAUUUUCGUAAAGUGCAUUCUUUCCGUCUAAAUUUAAGGCCAGAUUGGAAAAAGAGAUAAUUGGGAGAUUCACAUUCAUCUGAAAAUUGAAAUCCGAAUGGGACUCUCACAUACUAAAUACUUACAAAUAUAUUCGUCUAUUUCAAUUUCGAUUCCUGGAUUAAAAAAAAAAAAAAUUCAAAUGCACCCUAAAAAUAACAGUUCGUCAUUUAGCAAUCAACAGUUCGUCAUUUAGCAAUCAAGAUUAUGGACCGGCUGCCUAUGCUAAGAAGUAAAAUAAGGUCCUAGUCCUCAAGUAUAAAGUUCCAAUGUCAUGGUAAAAGAAAAUUAUAAAAUACUAAUUAAGUAUACGUGCAAAUGCUAACAAAUAUUUUAAUAACUACUUCAAAUUAAUAUAAAUUUACACAUCAUAUUUAUUCAAAUUUAUAACAUAAAAUUUAAAUUUUAAAAAAUAAAUUCAUUUAUUAUGUACUAUUAGAAAAUGUCUGUCAUAUUCUAACUCAAAUUUAAAUAUUUGUCGUCAACAAUAAUUAUAUAGUUCUUUUUUUUAUUUUAUAAAAUUUAUAUAUAGUGUAGAUAUAGAUAUACAUUGAAUUUUUUUUUAUAUUUUCUAAUUUUGAUAAAUUUAAAAUUUAAGUAUAUAUUUUAAACUAAAAUCAUCAAAAUUUAAAAGUUAUUAUAACAAUAAAAUAUUAGUAGAUAGAAUAGCGAUAAUAUAUAAAGAUUUAUCUUAAAAAAGAAGAUAUUGAAUGAUAAAAAUAUUUAAUAAAAAAUAAAAUAUUAAUUGUUGGAGAAAAAAGAGGAACUAAAAGUUUGUUUUCUUAUGUUAUUUAUUUUGUGUACGUGAAAAGAUGAAUUUUGAAAUGAGUCUGUCCACGAACUGAAAUUUGAAAAAAUAUUUUUUAUUUACCUUUCAUUCUACUCAAUCAGGUUUUUUUUUUGAGAGAUAGGUAACAUGCUAUCCGCUUUGUUUAUUUCAUUAAACUUAGCUGGAAAUGUGAAUCAACUAAGAUUCGAACUUGAAACCUCGGAUACCAACCAUCAAGUUCUUUGCCACUUGUGCCUGAGAUGGUUGGUUACUCAAUAUCAAAAAGUCAUAACAAAAUGGGUUUUUUUUGCAAUUGGACCCCUGAAAAAAAUUAUUUUUAAAACUAACCCCAGCAAAUUUAUAUUUACAAAAAUGGCUCUGCCCCUGCCACGCAAGCGUCACGUCAGCGCCACGCGGGUAGAGCUGGGGGCGGUAGUUAAGUUAAACACGGUGAACCAUUCACCGUGUCACCGUGUUUAGAGUUAGUACGUAUUUUUUGCAAUAUAAAUAUUAAAAAGAGAAAUAGGGAGUAGAAAUGUCAAUGGGUAUGGAUAUCCGAAAUAUUAUUCGAACCCAAAUCCGAAUAAAUUAUAUAUAUACAUAAUUUAUUUUUAUUUAUUUAUACAAUAUAUAAAAUAUUUAAUAAUUUUUAUUUCUUAGAUCUUUAUUCAACGGUAUAGAUUUUUAAAACCCGCUGGGCUCAGGUUCGGGUUUCGAGUUUUUGGUCGGAUAUGGAUAUGGGUAUGAAUUUUUAAAAUCCGUUGGGUUUGGGUUUUAAUUUGAUUUUCGGGUUCAGAUUUAGAUUUUUAAAAAAGGGAAAAAAAAUGAAUACAAAUAUGAAACACGGUAAACCAUUCACCGUGUUCAAACACGGUGAAUGGUUUACCGUGUUCAACUUAACACACUGGUCACAGCCCUGCCGGUGUGGCGUUGAUCUGGCGCCUACGUGGCAGGCCCAGAACCAUUUUUGCAAAUUAACUUUUGAUAGGACUAUUUUUAAAAUAAAUAUUUAUCAGAGGGCUAAAUGUACAAAACCCCCUUAAAAUUAGGUACUAGGUACUUACCUGUACACAAACACUUCUUCUUUUCUAAAAGGAACAAUAAUCAAUUUUGUUGUCAAUGUUUAGAAAAAAAAAAUCUAAAAUAUGAGUGUUAUCACAUUAUCUAUAGCUCUAAAUAAUCAAGUUUGCUCAUAAAAUUUACCAUCGCAUCAUGAUUUUUUUCUUUAAAAGAAAAUUGUUGUGCUUUUGCUCAAAAUAAGAUAUCUAAUUGACUUAAACAAAAUUAUAUAUAGUGCCACUGCUGUAUAAAAGACCAUCUCAGUAUUUUGAGGACUUAUCUAUUUUGUUAGGGUUUUUUUGUAUUUAGCCCUCUAAUAAAUUUUUAUUUUAAAAAUAGCCCUACUAAAAUUUAAUUUGCAAAAAUGGCCCUGGGCCUGCUACGCAGGCACCACGUCAACGCCACGUGGGCAGGGCCGGGGCCAGUGUGUUAAGUUGAACACGGUGAACCAUCACGUGGUUCACCGUGUUUAAUCACGGUGAAUGGUUCAUCGUAUUUCAUAUUUGUAUUUAUUUUUUUUCUCUUUUUCAAAAAUUUAAAUCCGAACCCAAAAAUCAAAUUAAAAUUGAAAGCGGACGGAUUUUAAAAAUUCAUACCCAUAUCUAUAUCCGACCAAAAACUCGAAACCCGAACUUGAACCCAGCGGGUUUUAAAAAUUUAUACCAUUGGAUAAAGAUCUAAGAAAUAAAAAUUAUUAAAUAUUUUAUAUAUUGUAUAAAUAAAUAAAAAUAAAUUAUGUAUAUAUAUAAUUUAUUCGGGUUUGGGUUCGAAUAAUAUUUCGGAUAUCCAUACCCAUUGACAUUCCUACUCCCUAUUUCUCUUUUCAAUAUUUAUAUUACGAAAAAUGCGUACUAGCUCUAAACACGCCCAGCCCGCCCGCGUGGCGCUGACGUGGCGCUUGUUCACCGUGUUUAACUUAACUACCGCCCCCAGCCCCGCCCACGUGGCGUUGAUGUGGCGCUUGCAUGGCAGGGACAAAGCUAUUUUUGUAAAUAUAAAUUUGCUGAAAUUAUUUUUAAAAAGGGCUUUUUUUGCAAAUAGCCCCCUGAAAAAUUUUAUUUGCGCAAAUAGCCCCGUGUAAAAUUUAUUUGCAAAAAUGGCCCUGACUCUACCACGCCAGCGCCGCGUCAGCGCCACGCGGGCAGGGCCUGGGGCAGGUGUCUAAGUUGAACACGGUGAUUGGUUGGUGAACCAAUCACCGUGUUCAUUGUAUUACUCACACCCCGCCGGGGGUGUUAGUAUUACAUUAGACACGGUGAUUCGUUCACCGUGUCUAAACACGGUGAGCUGUUCACCGCAUUUAGACGCGGUGAACCAUUCACCGUGUCUAAUGUAUUACACACCCUCACGCGGGUGUGGGGUAAUGCAUAUAACACUGUGGGCGGGUGUGGGGUAAGGCAUGUUAUAACCACGGUGAUUGGUCACCGUGUCUGAACACCCGGUGAUUGGUUUCACGCGUUAGACACGUGAACCAUUCACCGUGUUUCUCUUUAACACAAACCCCCCUCCCCCGAACUACUGCUGUGUCAUGUCUCGAUCUCUCCUCUCUCAUCAUUCUUCUCUCUCUCUCUUCUCUCUCUCUCUCAUCUCUCUCUCUCUCCUCUCGCUCGUCUCUUUUCUUCCUCUUGCUCUCUCUUCCUCACCUCUCUCGGCCGACCGCGCAGGAUGCCGCCGUCGCACGCUUUUGCACCGAGGUACCUCCUUUCUUUCGUUCUCUCUAGCCUAGAAGCAUUAUCUCUCUCUUUCUCUCUCUCGUGACUCUCUCUCUCUCUCUCUCUCUUCUUCUCGAUCUGUAUCCUCUCUCUCUCGUUCUCGCCUCGUGCCACCUCGGCCAGCCACGCGCGAUGCCGCCGCUUCCCACCCCCUCUGUGAGGGGGGGACUUCUCACACGUGAGUAAGCCCCACCCUCCCCCCCGUCCCCCACCCUGCCCCCCUCCCCCCGCCCCCCCCCCGCCCCACCCCCGCCCCCCCCCCGCGCCCGCCCGACCCCCUCCUUCCCACCUCUUUUUCCUUCGGCUCCUGCCGUCGCCUGCUCCCUGCCCCCUCCCCCCCCGCUCCCCACCACCGCCCGCGCCCCCCCUACACCACCCCCCGGCCGCCCCGACCCCCCCCCCCCCCCCCCCCCCAGGGGGGCCCCCCCCCCCCACCACCCCCCGCCCCCCCACACACUUCUUGAGAAGGUUCAUGUGAGACCCCCCUCCCCUCCCCUCCCUCCCACUCCUCUACCCCCAAACAUGUGAGAAGGUUCUCUGCCCCCCCGCCCUGCACUUGUCCCCCCCACGCAUUCUCACAUGGAUGCCCUGUGAGCUCUCACGGUGAGAAGACCACUUGAGCUUCUCAUUGUUGAUGAACACCCCUCCCCCCCUGCCCCAAUCACUCUCACAAGUGGCUUUCACAGUGAGAAGCCACUGUGAGAACACCCCCCCUCCCCCCAAAGCAUAUCAUAUGGCUUCUCACAGCUGAGAAGUCUUUCACUGCAACCCCCUCCCAUGUUCAUGAUUGUCUCGAUUUCUUGUCACAGAUCAUUCUGCGUCUUAAUUGGCAAAGUGAGUCACGACGCGACCGGUGCUUGACAAUAGUUAAUUCCAUCUUUUACAGUCGCUUCUUUUAUAUGUUAGAAAUGUGAUAAUGUCUUGAGUUAAUAAUUUUUCUACAUGUAAUUAUACUACUUUAGAACUUAAUCUGGCUCCAUUUCUUCGUAUAUACAUGGACGGAAUUUUGUCGGAGAACAAUAAUUACCACGAAUAUUGGUGCCGUAAGAAUUGGUUGCGUCCGACUCAAUAUCUCAUUUUCUGGAUUUAGAGAUGAAAUAUACAAUGUACUAAUUAUGAUUGAAGUGAGACCGUCUACGCCCACGGUAAAAUGUCAAUGGGAGUGAAUGGGAAUUUUUAACGUAUCAAAAUACAGAUCCUACUAAUCUAGCGUGCACUCUAAGGUCGGAUAUUUUUCGUUCCUGAUUGUAUUCAAAAUUAUACGUGACGCAGAAGAUGCGGUCGCGGCACCACGACGUCUCCAUAAUAACCGAUUUUUAUCAACUAAAAUGCGUCCUACCCGCAAUGAUCAAAGAAUACGUCCAAUUCGACAGAGGUCGUAACAUCAAGGUAUCAAAGCUAAUGAAUCUUUAUAAAUCUUUUUCGUGAUUUCUCAUUAGUUUAGAUGUCGCAGCGAAAUUUAAUUAACUUGCUGUAAUGUUCAAGAUUUGAGUCCAUCUCAAGCCAGUUAUGCAGCAUUGCGUCUCGUAGAGUGAUGAUCGUUCGUUGUUGAAUCAAAAUGAGUGUGUAGGUGAUUCUAUGAUUUAUGUUACAUAAAAAAUUAAGUGAAUAGUUAAAUCUUAUUAUAUCUUCUACAGGUCUACUGUCCCGUCCUUAUCAAAAGUCCAGACCAUCAUAUAUAUUCAUGAAUGGUAGAAUUGGAAAGUCAGAACCCACUAUCCUCCUUAUCAAAAUAAUGUCUCAAUGAGGUUUCAUCUAUGGCGGGCUUGCGGAAGUAAGAAAAUACUAAGCAACUCCUCUAUGUGGAUGGAAGGUUCCAGUGAUAAUCUAAGUGUUAAUGAAUAUCGGUUGGAAGUAAGAAGUACUAACCAUCCUUAUGUAGAUGAAGUUCCAGCGACCAUUCAGUGUGUUCAUCAAGGAUCGGCUUGGCCAAGAAGAAAUACUAUCCCUCCUUAUCAAAAUGAAGGUCCAUAUUCACUCAUCAUGAAUGGACCAAAUCGGGGUAGAUUGACUACAAACUGAUCUAUUGGAUCGUAGUAGAAGCUGUAGAGUGGAUAUAUUAGUGAAACUGUACGAAGAGAUCAAGGGCGAAUGAUGCUGAAGUCUAGUGGAUGCGAUGAGGAAUCCUUUGUUGGUGUUCUUGAUCCUGAUCCAUGACAGGUGCUUAAAUGCCCUCGAUACGCUAUUCGAGUAUGAAGGUCUUAUUGGAUUGGAAACACUCAAAUCUGUUAACAACGAAGAUUGUACCAGAUCCGGUGCGAAUUCGUGGAAUUUGAAGAUCAAUCGACAACGGUUUUGGCCUGUGUAAGAAGUUAAUUAAUCAAGCUUUAUAAGCAUCUACGGAACCAAAAUAUUAAUCAGGAGUCCUCAAGUGAUGAAUCAUGAGCUAAUCGACUUUUUUGAUAAAUCAUCGCUGAUAAAGGGCUUGGACAUUUGGCAUUGCACAUAUGUGCCAACUUAAAGUUGUUUAUGUCAAAUAAACUAUAUUAACUUUGCGACUAUGUGUGUCGAUCUUACCAUCGAGUAUUACAUGCUCUCGGACAGAAAGAUAGUUCAUUUUUAGAAAACUUAUAAAGGUCCACACACUUGUUUGGUUCAAUUUAAAUACAAUCAUCGGAAACGUGUACAUCAUCUUUUAUAUGUCAAUUAUACUACUUAACUGAAGGCGAAGGCUUACAAUGGUCCUAUGGAAAUUCAAGCCCGCGCUUCAGAGCGAGUUACACAUUAGCAUAUCAUAUAGCAAGGCUUGCGCGGCACAGAAAUAAAGCACUACAAAUUAUAUACGCUAGUUGGGGAAUCGAUACUGCGGACCUUCCUCGAUACUUCUCUACGUUGGAAUGCAAACAAUCCAGGACAACUAUUACAAAGAUGAAUUUAUAUUAGUGUGGCAAGCAAUACUGAGAAUGUUUUCACAUGCUUUCUGGCACUUUGGGACAGUCGAUUUAUGAUUGGAGAGUAUUGCCGGCCAAUUACUUAGUAAUCAAUGCUACAUCUGUAUGGAAAAUACGGAGGCCACGCUAUUAAUUGCGCCACAGUGUGAUUGGCCAAUGGUGUUUCAAUUUCCGCUAGUUUCGCCAAUUGGUGAGAAGAAAAAUGUCUCGAGUUAGGAGUUUUUCUUAGUUGCCUAAGAAGUAUUAACAGAUCCAGUUAUUACACUAAUUUAGAUCGUUUUAAAGGCCUAGCGAACCGUUGCACUUUAUUUCCACCAUUAAAGGUCAUGCGCGCAUUGAUGGUGUUUACGACAUAUGAGGCCAAUGUGAAUAUCAAUUUUCAAAGCCAGAAAACACUUACUUAAAUUUCUUAUCAUUGGGAGUGCUCAGAAGAACGCCAAUAUUACGCAUUAAAAAGAAGAAUUGCAAGCUGUGGAUGAGAAGUUGAGCGUUGGGAUCACAAAUCGUUCAUAAGAUUGAUCAUACCGGGCUAAAGCUUUUGAUGUGGUCGACGAUAUCGGUAUUAUGACAUACUAACCAUUGAAUGUUUAAAUGGGUGUUGAGGGGAGUUCGCGCCUUUCCAAAUAUCACUUUAUGUGAUUGGCAACAUUUCAUCAAGUGGUAGAAUUCUUUCUAAAACAUCAGGGGAGGCGUGACAAUUGUCUCGCAAUUUGUAUCGAAUGUUGAAUAACAAUAUCAAUAGCCCGGAUGAGAAGUCCUAGAGCAUAUACAGUUCGACGUUUGCAUUUCACCCAUGUUCGACGAUACUUACUGGCGGUGAUGUUCAAUACCAAGUGAUUAUCAAUGAAGCAUUCUAGCAUGUCCAUGUAUUGUGUUUGCAACUCACAGAAUCACUGUGUCAACACAUUUUGUCAUUGUAGUUCAUCACACCGAUCGAACAUAGUAUUUAUGGCCUUAGUUGCUCUCGAGGUUAUACCUGGUUCGCAUCAUAUGUAAGACUUCGUAUGAACCGCAGUUCAACUCACGUACCGAUCGUCGUUAUUAAUCGUGUUAUAUAUUCUCUAUAGUGCCACCACGGGAGAGUAAGAAAAAAGCUGAUGACCCAGUCGUAACGUAUCCAUAAUUUAUGGAUGAAGCAGUGGAAUAGAGGCAAGUGAGUAUGUCGUAAAUAGCCUGGACAUUAUCAAAAGCACUUGUCCUGAAAAUAAGCAAAAAGAACCGAGAGCGUCGUCGAUAAGUUUUUCUAUAUGAAUAUGACACUUAAACUUCUUAAUCUAUUAUACUUACGCCACUAAUGUUAUCAUGUUUCUAACUCAGUUUUUUUUUUUUUAAGCCAAUUCAGAGACGAUCAUGACGAAGCCGAGACCCUAUUAAGUACAUCUGCUUGCUGACUGAGCAAGCACGACCAAUAGUAUUACAUUGAUCAGAAGGUCGGAAUUUUUUAAAACAUUUCAAAUUUAUUAGAUCUUCUUUAUACUUAUGUAUUAUUUUGAGCUGGCUUUUGGACAAUCAUGCACGGAUGAUUCUCCUGUCAAUUUACGGGAGUCAUGGACGUAAAAUUGAACAGAUGGCAGUGCGAGCAUCCUGCGGUGUUUGAUUAUUGCGGACGAGCAGUAUUUUAUACGUUUCACGAUGCGUCGCUACAGCUCGAAUCAUGUCAUUUUGGAGCAUUAGUGAAGAGUGGCCUGAGAGAGCACAAAGUUUCUCCUAUUUGCAGACAUGGAGAGAUGAGAUUACAUGAUGGACGUUCGCAGUUAUUUAGGGAUCUCCCGUCGAUGCGGGGCUGCUGACUGGAGGGGAUCCUAUCAGUGGGCAGCAGCUCUGGUUACCUUCUGGGUGGAUUCGCAGGAUAUUAGGCCGCGGUGGCUGAGAUCAAAAGACUGUAUUAUUCAGUUCAGCGUUUUUCCAUGAUAUCCCCUUAACGCACCUCCCGCUAUUGUUAGAGCUACAACGAAUCGAGGCGUGAAAGUCAUAUACUAUUUCAGAUAGUGUUUAGUUUGUUUCCAUAAUCAAGCGGGAAUAGGGUGCAUUUGAAUAUGGCUGCCAAUCUGAGGAUUUUUUGACCUUUGGUGGGGUUGGCAUGGGUGCAGCCGCGCUAGCAUCUUUAUCGCGUCUCCUAGGAAUCUUCCUUAGGGAAAGGCUCGAGUGUUGUUGGUUUGGGACAUUACGUUCAUUAUACAAUUUGACGACACGACCCUACAAUACUUCUACUUAAGUCAUGGUUAUUCUUUCCAUUGUCUAACUAGAAUAUUUUUUAAUAGAUAUGGUAAUGGGACCACCUUGACAUAUGGCGUCCUGAGGGAGUAGCGACCACAGCCUGGCUUGUCGGACAUGCCUCUAGGGGUCGCUAAGUAAUUUUUCAUCUUAUUUUGUAUAUACUUUUAUUCUAUCAACUAAUAUUGAUAUAAAUGAAUCAGGGGCAUACCAGGCUGGUUUUCGGGACAAAUGUCAGGACUACUGACUUAGUUUUAUCGGAUCACUGGCACAGCCAGAUUAGAGUUCAGGUAAAUAAAAGUUACUCAAACUGUCGGAAUACAAUGUUGAGACCCAGAUAGCCUAUAUAUAGAAUAUAAUAGGCUAAACCUUAACUCGGUUAAGCAUUUUGGUGGUGCAAGCCAAGAGGUUAAGAGAGUUAAGCGAUGCUAGGACGGUAGCUCCUAGGAGGGGUGACCCCUGGAAGUUGGGGCGUUCAACAGAUAGGUAUCAGAAGCCAUUACACCGAAGUGAGUAUGGAGUCCGUUAAGCCAGGGUCUGGAUGACGGGCUAGCGAGAUGAGUCUCACAUCGCCUGGUACUUGUGAGUCUGAGCCUGACGAGGACGUCAAGGCUUAAAGGAGGGGAGAUAGUCCUAUAUAUGAGAUAUAAUAGGGCUAAACUCUUAACUCGGCUUAAGCAUUUUGGGUGGUGGCAAGGCCUAAGAGGUUAAGAGAGUUAAGCGUGCUAGGACGGGAGUAGUCCUAGGAUGGGUGACCCCCUGGGAAGUUGGGGCGUCACAUCAAUAUAGUUUAAUUUUUAUUCGAAACAUGAGUCACAAUAUAGUUUAAUUUUGAUAACUAAUCAUAUUUAUUUUUCACAAUAGAUUACAUGGAGGCCUUAUGACGACACUGUUUUAGAGACGCUCCCACCUUUUUGUCUGGCCGGGUUCUACGUUUGGCGAUCGAGGACUACCUUAGUUUGCUUCCACAUUAUUGAGCUCCAUCAUCCCGAUCGUGUGCUGUGACAGUUUGGGCUAUUACAGUAUAUACCUGAUGCAGUACUUGCCAUACAUCGCAUUAAUUCACGAGGUGGAGCAGAUGAGGAUUGGGCGGCAUACCAUGCGUCAUACAUUCAGCGUUGGAAUGAUAGAUUGAUAGAUAUAGCAGAGAUGGCCCUAGAGAUAGAUCCAGAUCCGAUACGAGCUACCGCUGUUUACAUGCAGUGGUAUUGGACGAUCACCAGGAGGUGGAUCUCUACACCUGUACAGCGGCCACCACUCGCGUAUCAGCCACGUGCGCACGUCGAGAGAGUAUUGGUAUGAUUGUAAUAUAUAAUAUCUUUUUAUAUUAAUUUUUAUAUAUACAAGAAAAUUUCGUAUAAUCUUUUUUUAUUGUGCUUUUAUUUCAGGUCGAUAUCGUGCAGAGAUCAUAUUAUACAAUCAGACGUGUCCUGCCCGAUAUUUUAGGAGGUGGAGUCUUAACUACCCCAUCACAGGUUGCAGAUCAGAUGGAAGACUUUACCUACGCUUCCACACUAUGUACCUCCAGGACCAGCAGACUAUGGUGGAGCAUCGACGUCCGGCCAUGCACCCAUAUAUAGUCCACCGAGGCCAUCAUCACCUAUUGAGGAGCCACCUUAUGCUGAUGUUACAGACCCGGCACCAGCACUCGGAUCCAGCUCGAGCAGGUGAUAUUGCUUAUUUUAGGCGUCGACGGCGAUCGAGGUCUAUCCGUACAGAUCAGCCCUCCUCUUCAGCUCCUCCACGGCCAGAUCAGCCCUCCUCUUCAGCUCCUCCACGGCCAGAUCAGCCCUCCUCUUCAGCUCCUCCACGGCCAGACAUACUACCGACACAUGCUACUGCUGUGAUUGAGCCGGUUAUUGAGGGUGCUGCUAUAGAGCAUCUAGACCAGUUGGAGAUCUUGGAGCCUUUUGAUGAGCAUGAUGUUGGUCGUGGUCGCGGACGUGGUAGGCGACGUGGUCGAGGGAGUCGAGGGAGGAGAACAUGAUAUUAUAUUUGUAUAUUAUUGUAUAACUUGCAUUUAUUUUGUAUAUUCUGUUUUGAUUAUUUGGUAUUGAUUAUAUUAUUGAUAUUCUAUUGGUUGUGAUGUUGUAAUGUGUAUUGAUUUUGUGAUGUUGUGAUGUUUAUUACUUUUGUGAUGUUGUGAUGUGUUGUGAUGUGUAUUGAUAGGUAUCUGUAUUGUAUUCUUGUAUUGAAUCUUGUAUUGAUUUUUGUGCGACAAAAUAUUUGCUCGGGCAGGCAGUUGUAUUGGACACAGUGAAUGGAUCACCGUGUCCAUUUGUAUUGGACACGGUGAAUGGUUCACCAUGUCCAAUACAAAUGUAUUGGACACGCCCCGAAAAUGGUUAAGUCCGUGUCCGAUACAACUAGUUAGGCCGUAUUUGGCCAAAUAUAGAAGUAAAGGACACGUGAAUGAUUCACCGUGUCUAAACACGGUGAACUGUUCACCGUGUUUAGACACGGUGAACGAAUCACCGUGUCUAAUGUAAUACUACCACCCCCGACGAUGUGUGAGUAAUGCAAUGAACACGAUGAUUGGUUCACCGUGUUUAGACACGGUGAACCAAUCACCGUGUUCAACUUAGACGCCUGACCCAGGCCCUGCUUGCGUGGCGCUGACGUGGCGCUAGCAUGGCAGGGCCAGGGCUAUUUUUGCAAAUAAUUUUUAUACAGGACUAUUUGCGUAAAUAAAAUUUUUCAGAAAACUAUUUGCAAAAAAAGCCCUUUUAAAAAUAAUUUUUUUCACGAGUCCAAUUGCAAAAAAAAUCCUAAUUUUAAGUUUGUCCCUUGACUAUAUCUUCUAAAACCAGGCGUAAUUUUGAGGGUCUCGAGGUUGUGUACUUUCUUCCUUAAUUUCUUCCGCUGUAAGACUGCUCUCUUGUCUCAUUGUCCGAAGCAGACUUCCGUACCUUGAUGUUAAAUUUUAUAAAAAAUUAAGAUUGUAGUUCUGUCGUUAUUUCAAUUUUUAUAUCCGGACUAUAGAUGACGAUUCUCUUUUGUUAUUCGUUCUCAUUCACGAUCUGCAAAGAAAAAAGAUGUUUCGAGUCUAAUUUUCUAAUCUCCAGUGAUAUAGUCGUCACAGAAAAUUAAGAUUAGAAUUAGACCGAAACUACCGUAUGUUACAUAUUUAUAGAUAACUUAAUGUAAGGAUGUUAAAUCACGUCAGCUUAUCAAAACGUGUCUAGAUACAUUCUAAUAGUUAAAUCUAUCGUAUUUUUUUAUAGAUCGACUCUAAUAGACCGACUUAUCUUUAUAGAUCGUCUUGAAUAAAUCAAAUGAGCCACAUCCAACACUUGAAACAUUUUAAAAAAUAAAAAUCUGUUCCUUGGAAGUUAGAAUUUAGGGCGUGUUUGGUUCGCUUCUUUUUUUCUCUGGAAUCGGAAUCAGAAUGGAUGAAUCCGUUUGUGGGUGUUUGGUACGCAGGAGUCCCAGUCCGAUUCCAAUUUCCGAGUGGAAUGGAAAUCCCCCAAUCACCCAAUUUUUCAAUCCGGCCUAGGAGGCCGGAUUGGAAGUUGAAUCCGGACGGAAUGAAUAUUUAUUCGGAUUAAAUUUAUUUUUUCAACUUUUUUAAUUAAAAUAUGAGUUAAAAUAUAAAAAUUAAAUAUAUAUUUUUAAAUUUUAAUUUGAACUUAAAUUAAAAAUUAAAAUUUAAUCAAGUAUUUCGAAUCUAAUUUAUUGAAUUUGAAUUUAAAUUAAAUUUUAAUUUAUAUAAAGUUUUAUUUAAAUUUUAUUUCAAACUUAAAUUAAAUUUAUGGAUUCAAAUUAAAAUUUAAAUUGUAAUGUUAAGUUUGUUUGAAUAAAUCAAAAUUUAGUUUCAUAUUUUGAAUUAUCCAUUCAACUUCAAAGUUUAAUUUUUUUAAAAAAAAUAGAUUUAAAAUUUUGACAUUAUUUCAAAAUUUUGAUGUAAAUUUUUAAUAUUUAAUUUUUAAUUUGAAUUUAAAUUAAUAUAUUAUAAAGAUAAUGUUAGUAUAUUAAUUUGAUUACGUUUUUUUAUAUCUACCUGAACCAAACACCGACAAUGAAAAUGAUUUAUUCCGAUUCCGAUUCCGAUUCCGAUUCAGGUGAUAAACAAAACAGAAUUAGGUAAUGAGUCAUUCCGAUUUCGAUUCCAGCUUAUUUUGAUUCCGAUUCCGAUUCCGAUUCCGACUCCGACUUCGACUUCGACUUCGAACCAAACACGCCCUUAGUUCUUUGGAUGUUAUGAAAUUGUGGUAAAAAUAUUCAUCUCACUAGACUACAGAUUUUUAUCACAGUUUCAUGGGCAUCAGAUUGGCCAAGGUAACGCCCUAUUUUAGUUUUCCGGAGUUCUAAAGCACAAAAGUACAUAUAUUUGAAAAACAUAUUGCCAACCUAAGCCUAUGAACAAGAGAGAAAAAAAAAUGCAACAACAUUAAAGCAUAAUUAAAACACGUAACGAGUUUUGAUUCUAAUAAGUUUCAAGUAUUCUAAAUCAUUUCUAGCUGCAUGAAUUUUUAAUUGGGACGCAUUAAUGUUAAUUUUGAAGAUAAAAAUAAAACCAAAAAUAAAAAAAAAAUACACUCUGAACUAUUCUUGAGUGGAGUCUAAUCCCGCUGCUAUUACCCAGAUAUAUAUUAAUUUUCUGUUUAUUUAAUAUAUCCUUAACCAAGUUGAUACAAGAAAGGGUAUACGACACUAUUUAGUUGGCAAAAUAGUCUUCUUUUUUUUUUAAUUCUCAUUUUUAUAUUUUUAUCAGGCUUUAUGCUUGAAGUGUAAUUUAAUAAGGAGGUGUAAGAUAUAGAUUUUAUUUUUGUAGUGCUCCUGGUGUUUAGCGGUCUGAGUGAUGUCAGCAUCUGAGGCUUGUCGACACGUCUGGUAAGUGUCGGGACAAGUCGAAAUCAUUUUGGCGUGAAACGGACGCAAAACGUACUCAGCGCAGCGCGAGAGUGGAGUUCUGACACUGAAAUCUACAAAGUGCAGGAUUUCAGUAUUGAGUACUGGUACCUGGGGAGAAGUACAGGUACCCCAGUGAGUUUGCAGAACUGGAUGCUCUGGGAUUUGCACGAGGCUGAUGUUGAGUACCGAUACCUGUUGUCAAGUACCGAUAUCGAGCUUGGGUAUCGGUACUGUAUCGGGCUAGUACCGAUACCUAGUGUGCGAGACUGCAGGUUGAGAAGCCGAGUAACCAGUAUUCAAGUAGGGUACCGGUACUCCAGCUGGAAAAUGAGUUGGUAAGGGGUAGUUUGGUUUUUUGAUGUGUCGUUCUUUCCUAUGUUAACCCACCCUGUAUAGAUAUGCGCAGGGUGUUUAGAGAGGAGAAUGCUGUUUCUUUUCCUCUCUCUCUCUAGCUGGUGGUAGCCGUGCGUCUGGAAGGUCGGGGGCUCGAGCUCAUUCGCAUUCGACGUUCCCCGGAGGACCGUUCGCGCGCGUGGGUGUCGCGAUGAGCCAUGGAGAUCGGGCAAACAAGUGGGUUCCCUUCUAUCGACUUCUAGCCGACGUUGGACGAGCGCUCGAGGUGGGUUGAUGUUUACCGAAAUCGUCGGAUUUCCUUCUAAGUCCUAGAAAGUGUCAGCAUGUAUGGUUUUCAUGUGUAGUAUCAUGUUAAUAGCUCGAAUUCAUCGAUUGGUAUAGUUGUGUGCAAUCUGAAUUUGGAGCCUCAUUGUUGGAAUAUUUAUUUACAUGUUGAACUUGGAAUUGACUUAGGAGAAAACUCGUUAAACCUACACCGUUAUAUUUUCAAAAAGUUACCAGAUUUAGUUUCAGGAGCUACUGUACUUUUGUAUCACCGCUGUUAGUGCGAGGUGGAUACCCAAAUUAGUAUAGGCUGAGAUUACGCUCGUGCUGAGAAGACAAGCUCAUGUUACAGUUGAGUGUAGGCUGUUUCGUACUGUCGGGUGCCGUCACGGUUGACGGUAGACCCAGAUUUCUGUAUCUUGCAUCAGAUUGUGCCAAGGGCACGUGAGCUUUGGUUGUUAGACCAGUUUAGACCCAUCUGCAUUGACUACAGCCUGUAAGAGUCUGAUUGAGCUCAGCAGAGACACGCUUGCAUACUCGGUUGGGUCGCGCCCACGAGUGUCGCUCAGGAGUCUGACUAUCUUGCUUUGCGUUGACGUCAUAGUAGUCCGGUUUGGACCUUGCUCUCCACCGGCCGCCCAUGGGGUGGUGUAUGGUGUAACUUAGACAGGCGGGGCGGGCGUAUCGCAGUCCCUUGUGAGAUUGGGUUAGUGUGAUACAUUUGUUUAUUUACAAAUAGAUUGUGUUGGUUAGCAAUAGUAUAGGGGCAUGUAGCUGUAGAGUUAUUUCCAACUUUCUUUACUAUCCUUGCACAUAUUUCUGUAGACUUAGUGGGUGGGCCGUUGAGGUCGGUGGCGAUACCCACUGAUGACUACUCUGUUUUGCAGUAGUUCUAGCUCAUACCCAGUUGUUGACCCCUUUUUGCAGAGUCUUCGUCUGCGGCUGCUGCUGUUGCUGAUUCCGACCGCGGGGAGGGAGUCGCGAGCUAGAUUCUUCCUAUCCUUGGUUGCUGUGCUAGCGGAGUACCCGUCAGAGAUAGUGGGUUUUGUUCAUGUACAUACUCUAUGUUCGGUUUACUCGCUUGAGCGAGGUGUUUGUGUUGGUUCGAAGCUUUGUAUGUACUACGAAUCUUAUGUUUUAUAUACACAUGUUUCUGUUUAGCAGCUCUAUACUUCUGGUUGUAGCUAUGAUGAGAUUACAGGUACAACUAUCGCUUCGUAUACAUCGAAAAUUUCUAUGUAUACGGUGGGUCUGAAGACGCCCGGAAAAACGUAAUAAUCUGGGGCGUGACAAUUUUGGAAUGUACAUGUAGCAGUGCUCGUAACUUAAACCCUAGACCUAUUGCUCGAGAGGAGGACACUUGUUGACGACAACAGACUAGACCUUUGAAUUAAAAUCUUAUAAAUUCUAAAUUGCUUAAAGCCCGAGAACUUUGACAUUAGAAUUGACGCAGCCGAAAAGCUACGUGAUACAGAUGAAGAAGCAUAACGAUGAGAUAGAAGAAUAAAGAAUCUCUCCCGAUAGAAAUCAUUAUUAUUAAACUCCAAAAUAACUCUCCUUCUACAAUAGGCCUCUGCCGUAUUCAUACUAAAUUUAAUAUAAAUUUAAGUGCUGCUCUAAAUCAAAUCUUAAGAUUUUUACUGUAACAUAUAGAACCCAAGCCAUACGAGCGAACUCUUGGUGAGGGGUAAUUGGUGAAGUCAUUUAGAAAAAUGAUUUCAUAAGAGUUAACAAAAAAGUGUAAUUGAGAAAAUAGACCCAAAAGUUAGAAUUUCGGUGAGAUCUUUUGAACUUUAGAGUAUUAAUGAUAAUGACGACUAAAUAUUAGAUUUAAAGUGUAUGAAGGCUAUGGAAAGGGAUUAGAAAGUAUUUGAGGUGAUUUGGUGAAAUUUUGAAAGAUAACAAAUGCGAUAGAGAAGAGUUGUGUUGGAAUUAGAGGACAGCGAAAACUUACAAACUAGAUAGCUAACAUAUGCAGGUAUCGAAAUCGAAUCAGGUUGCUUAUUUUACUAUUCUUUUUGAAUCGUUCUUGUCGUGAUGCAUCUGGAUCUUCCACGUAGCUUUUGAAUCUUCGACGUAACUUUUGGAUCUUCUAUGUAUCUCGCCUUCUCCUAUGCAUUGCGGAUCGGAUGCGAAGAUGGCUAUUAGAGUCCUCUUCUUUAUCCGUGCUCCAAAAAACCGAGAACUUUAGAGUAAAGCCCAAAGAGAACGUAGAGGGAAAGGAAGAAGAAAUUCCUGUUUUAUUCGAAUGUACAAAAUUCGAGAGAAAAUAGUAUUUAUAGAUUAUUAGAACCUUUAAAAUAUCCUGAUUCUAACAUAAAUAUUAGAAUUAGAAUAUUUAUAAUGAUAUAAUAGAUAUUCAUUAGGAAAUACACUUCUUAACUAAUAACAAAUAUACAAAUUUAUCCUUAUCCUUAUUUUAUUAGGGUAAAUCCUAAUUCACAUCUUAUGUGGAUCGGAUUGAAUUAGAACUAGCCAAUGUGGACACACCACAUAGCAACAAUCUCCCAAGACCCAAGUUCGAAUCCUAGUUGAUUCACAUUUCUAGCUAAGUUUAUUUCUAAAUGAAAUAAACAAAGCGGGUAGCGUGCUACCUAUCUCUCAAAAAAAAAGAAAACCAAUCUCCCACUUGGCCACAAUGGCCAAUUUUCUCUCAUAUUGUUACGCUCCGAGACCGCUACCAAUUUGGUCCGGCUCGGGCACAUCGAACAGACGCCAAACGGACAGCACUUCCCUCGUCCGCCCAAGGUUCAACAACAAAUCAAGUACAAUCAAGCGCUCAGGAAAAUGCUUAAUAUACAUACAUGAUCAUAUACGAAGCACCACAAGUGCUAACAAGUAAGAGCAAGAUACAAGUAUACGGUACAAGUGAAUAAAGAGAGAUAAUCUAGCUAUUACAACCAUUCAUCAUAAUUUCCUUUAAUUAUAUUUCCAUCUCCAAAAAUGUAAUACAAGUUCAUCUCCAAUAUACACAAAUAGCUCCCAAAAUACAUCAUAUAUCUCUAGCACAUGAGGGUACUCUAAUGCAAAAUAGGAAAGUUACUAUCUACUAUCUACUCUAGCGCACUAUGCCCUUGCCGCAAUCCUCGCCCGGCGAACUCGUACUCGGCCGUGCAACAAAGUGGGGUGAGAACUAUAUAAAUAUAGUUCCCAGUGGGUUCGACCGCCGACUCCGCCGAUCUUCCCACUAGGUCUAAGCAGGCAUAAGCAGAUAGAUAGAUAGAUAGAUAGAUAUGAGCUGCAACAAUAAUCUACCAUGCCUUCGAUGUCAAUCAAUGCAUGCAAUGUCCAUUUUGCAAUAACUCUACUAUUAUGCUAGUAUCAUGUUAUGAAGGUAAGUGUCACAUAGUCAUGUAAUCUGCUAACAUAUACUAUGUCUACUCAAGAUAUGAAUGCAAUUCUACUAUGCUAUUCAUGCUCUUUCUUUAAUCACUCGGCUAACCCGAAGGUUCGCCCCUACUCACUCUCAAUCUCAUAGGUGAGGAGAAGCUACACUCGCACACCGAGACCGUCUGCGGGACAACUACGUCUACCCCUAUGGUGAAGUACUCCAGAGACCACUACUUGAGUGGAGCGACCACCUCAAGUGUAAACAGAUUAGUGAGUAUGAUCCAAUCCCCACAAGAGGAUACCCUGUCUACAAAGGUCAUAGUGCCUUUACCGCACCGAUGCAAAUGCAUAAUCCAAUAACCGGGAACACUACUAUCCCUAGAUUCAUGUCACCAUAGACCACUACACUAGAUUCGAUGCCACUCGUUCAAUCAAUUGUAGUCAGUGUUCAACUAGUUUAGAUGCCACUCGUUCAAUCAUUCGUAGUGCUUCUACUACACUAGUUCGAUGUCCAUUAUCAACGUCUUCUCAAGUUCAUGUCAUCACUUAUCUUGCCAUUAUAGGUUCAUAUGUCAUAAGUCUAAUUCUCAUGUCCCUAGGUUCUUGUGUCAAGCUCUCCAUGCUACACUACUAUGGAACAUGCAAGGAAAUAGAAAUAUGCUAUACAACAUCCUAUAAUGCAUAAGUGCAACAUGAAUGUACAUGAUUAAUGUAUAUACUCAGACAUAAAAGAAAAUCCGGUUGCUUCGGGAUGGAUACCCCCCACCUUCUGGUGAUGUCAAGAGGUCUAGACUCCAGUUUUGUGAUUUUUGGUCGCUUCCUCGGCCUUCCAGGCGGAAACGAAGCCAAAAACACCUUUUUUCUCAAUUCCUUUGCGUAGCCUCGACGAAUCGUCGAACCGACUUCGCCAACGCGUCAAAGUACCUAGCAAUUUGGUUUAGACAUGCUCAAUUGAGAUCAAAACCCAUCAUGAGCAAAACCCCUCUUUAGAACCCUAGGUUUCUACUCAUGAGAAAUCUCAUGCUACAAUCUUGUGAUUCAAGCUCUAAUCACCUAUUUAGCAUGCUAGGAUUCCUCCAAAACCAUUUCGAGUCAAAGCUUCAAACCCUAGAGAGCUACCAUGAGAGGAUAUAGAAGCUUACCUCUACCAAGCUUCUACUCCAAGCUAAGGAAGAAGAUGGCAAUGGAGAUCCUCUCCUUGGUCUUCUUCUCCUUCCUCUUCUUCUCUUUCUUCUUCUUCUCCUUCUUUUUUUUCUAGAGAGAGAGAGAGGGAGAGUGUGAGUGUGUGUGUUGGAGGGAAAUGAGAGAAAGAGAGAGGGGGAAAUGCCCACUUAACCCCUCUCUUGCUACAAUAGCCAAAAACCCCCUCCAAUUUGCCUCUUGUGCACUGCCCAGACUGGGCAGAUUUCGGGUGCGGGGACCUGUCUCCCUAUGGAGGGACCGGUCCCCAAGAGCAGCCUCACGCGCAGAGUCCUCUGCCAGCCCCUUUACGCGCACGGGGUUCGGUCCUUUGCAGAGGGACUGGUCCCCGAGAGCACAGUUCUGCGCAGAGCCCUCUGCUCUGCCCUACACGUGUACGGGGACCGGUCCUCGCCCGAGGGACCGGUCCCCGAGAGCAGGAUUUCGCGCAGAAGGCCUUUUGCCAUUCCUACGCGUACGGGGUCCAGUCCCUGGCCGAGGGACCGGUCCCCAAGAGUACAAAAACUGUAGUUUGUAGAUUUUGCUCCAGCUUGUUCUCGUGACCCCUCCUCAAUGCACUUUUCGCAUUUGCAUAUUCGACAUCUUCGGCCUUUCCGAAGCGUACCAACACGACCCUUGGUCGAUUUUACACGAAGUUCAACUCUCGCAUUUCGAGAAUUCACUUCCUUACACAUACAUUCUACUCUUCAUACGGAUAAUGGAGCAUGCGACUUAACGAAAAAAUGCAAUGUAGGAGUGCUAUAUUAAGUUACCACUCAACUAACAUAGCACAUUACUAACUAAAUUCGUCUAUGCCCUAGACGUUUCAAUACACACCGGAUCAAGCAUCAUAAAUCCCUCUUCCGUAAUAAUAGGGCUCGACCCUAUAAUAAUUUUUCAUACUCAUGAUCAUCUCAAAUGGCACAACCGAGAUAACCACCCAAACAAUAAGUCAUAAGGUUUACGUGGUGUGUUAUUAGAACAUCUUGUUCAGUCCCUCAUGUUAAUCUAUCUCAAUUCAAACACUUGGUAUGUUCUAUGAGAUCGUAUUUUCUCAUGAUCCUGAGAUACAUGCUAAGUUAAUUACAUCGGACCUCUAUUUCAUAACAUAAUUCUAAGUCAAGAGAAUAAAAAGGUUAGUGCUUACAUAAUGAUAUAGAGGGCAGAACUUAUGUCACUACUAACUGGUUGAUAAGCACAUCUAUAUAUAAAUUGAAUCGAGAGUUUUACUGUGGCCGACGUGGCCGCUUCUCCGCGCUCGCGAGGAAGAGAGGAAGAGAGAAAGGGAGAGGAAGAGAGAGAGAGGGGGUCCUGCGCCGCGUUUGGGGGGGCCGGUCGAGAGAGAGAAAGAAAGAGAGAGAACAGAUGAAGGGAGAGAGAGAGAGAGAGACCAGACAUCCCCCCGCGUUUGGGGGGUUCCGGUCGCACGAGAGAGAGAGGGACAUGGAGAGAGAGAGAGAGAGAGAGAGAGAGAGAGAGAGAGAGAGAGCAGGGAUCCCCACACCCCCCCUCCGGCUCUCUCUCUCCCCCAUGUGCGCGGGACCCGCGCCAGGCGUGUGCGCGCGCCCCGCGCCAUGCACGCGACCCGCGCCCGGCGGAUGCGUGGGCCCCCCUCUCUCUUCCACUCUUUUCUUCUCCCUCUCCCCCUCUCCGGUUCUCUCCCUCUCUCUCCCUCCCCUACUCCCCCCCGCCACCCAUCUCCCCUCUUUUCCUCUCCCCCCCGGUCUCUCUCUCUCUCCUCCCCUCUCUCCUUUACCUGACCGCGAGCGCCGGCGCAGUGGCGAGCUCCGCCGCUAACGCGGGCGCGGGCCAAAGGCCUCCUUGCGGGCGCGGGGGGCGGACGCCGGCACGAGGCGGCAAACAGGGCGGGCGGGCACGGGCGCGGACAGGUAGCGCAAGAGUGCCGGGCUCGACGCCGCCGUGGGGAGGAGCGGCGCAGGCGCGGGCAGGGUGUGGCUCGGGGGUGUGGGGAGCGGGCGACGCGGGCGCGCGGGGCGGGGCGCGGCGCGGGCAUGCGGGGCGCGGGCAUGACGCGAGCACUGGGUGAGGGGAAGUGGAAAGAGGGACUGAGGGAGAGAGGGGAAGAGAGAGAGGAAGAGAGGCGCUGGGAGAAAGAGAAAGAGAGAGAAAGAGGGAGAGAGAGCAACAGAGAGAAAGAGAGACACAGGGGGAGAGAGAGAGAGAGAGGGAGGGAGAGAGAGAGAUUUUAAAAUUUUAAUUUUCGAAUUUUAUAUUUUUAUAUUUAAAUUUUAAAUUUAACUGUUAACAUUUAAUUAAUUAAAUUUAUUAAUAAUGUUAUAUAAUAUAUAAUUAAUUAAUUAAUUAAUAAUACAUAUAAUAAAUUGUGUUUUAAGUUUCAAAUUUUUUUAUCCUUCCAUAUUUAAAUAAUUUUUUAAUUUUUCUUUCUCUUUAACUUUUGAAUUUGGGAAUUUAAAAUUAAAUUUAGAAAUUAUAAAAUUAAAAAAAUUUGUUCAAAAUAUUUUAAAAUUUGUAUAAAUAUCCCGCUGCGAAGCGCGGGCCUUCACUCGUAUAGUAUGAUAUGUUUGUUAUGACGAAGCUCCCACCCAAUAGGUCGUAUCACGCUCUAAAAUAUCAUAUGAACCUUGUUCUAGCUACCACUAUAGUAUGUAACCACUAGACAAUUCAAGUCAUCUAUAUAACCCGAGUACGUAGGUUUUGCUGCUAUACAACUCGAUAUGGUAUUUUAUAGAAGAACUUUUACAUCCAACUUCUCAGUGUUCAUCUUAAUUAUUAUUAAUAACAGUGUUCGUUAUUACCAAACUAAUGUUUGGAACUUUUCGGACUUCACCGAGGUGGAAGUUCAAAGCUGUUUUCUUCGCGAGCAAUCCACCUCUAAGGAAGAUAGCUUGCAUCUUUCCUUUCUGCAUUGCUUCGCCAAUUUUCUUCUAACAAAAAUAAUUCUUCUUUAGGACGGUCAUCACACAACCGUCCAAAAUAUGGACCUUUUUCUUCCUCACCAUCAUUUUUGACGGGAUCUGUGUUGACUUGGGAUAUAUCAUUACUUGCCACAUGUUCGCCACCGCAUCACCUACUUCUCGCUCGCUUCCAUAUGACUCUUUGCUCACCGUUGUCCUAGAAUUUGUAAUUUCGAUCUUGAUAGAAUAAGGCCGAUGAAGCACCCCUCUCUCGUCAAUACGGACACUUUAAUUUCUUAAUCAUUGGAUUCAAGAAAAAUUGCUAUAGAAAUUGGAUAAGAAAGCAUGUGCCUGGUCAACCCGAAGAGCAUAGUGAUUGUCUGCCGCCACAAAAGGCCUGGCCUGCCGUAGGACUAUCUCCGAUAAGUGGUCAUUCAUGGUACAUACUAGAUUUGUUUAAGUUUAAUUUGGAAUCAGAUUUAUAGUUUCAUGGCUUUUAGUAGACUCAAGAAUCUGCUAUUAAUUAUCCCACACUUGCAGUGUUAAGGAACCCUCGAUUAAGAGGCCAAAUUUAAUACCGUUGAAGGGGUCCAUUUUAAAAUAGACCUACAGAUGAGAGUUCUUCAUACACUUUUAUUCACCAAUAAUUAGAUACAGAAAUAUCAUUUUAUCUCAUUAACAUUAACCGAAGCAAAUAGAGGAUGAUGGCAAGGAUAUUCAUGAGAAUUUAAAAAGUUUUUGAGAGUAUUAAUGAUAUUUCAAAGUUUUGACGGUUACCUAUGAUAUUUUUAAAGUCAUGAAAUUGCCCUCUUUUUUUAAUUAAACAAUUUAACUAAAAAACAAAAAAUAAAAAUUCCGUUGCCGGGACUCGAACCCGGGUCUUUCGGGUGAGAGCCGAAUAUCCUGACCAGCUAGACUACAACGGAUUGCUGGAAUUUCAUAAUAAUUGUCAUAUAUUUAUACCUGAUAAUUUACUGCUUGUAUUUAAAUUUAUACUUUAAAAAUUUAGAUUUAAUAUGUUUUAAAAUAUUAUAAAGAUAAAUAAUUGUUUCGGGUUCAGAUUCCGCAUUUUUGGUUGGAUUCGGAUUUGGAUAUGUACAUUUUUGUAAAAUCCGUCGUAUUCGAAUUCAGAUUCGGGUUUCAGGUUUGAUAGUGAGAUUCGGAGUUUUAAAAAUCUGCCCUAAAUCCGACCUCUUGACAUCCCUAGAUAAAAAGUAGGAUAAUAUUAGAAUACCUCCAGCAGCACCUAAUACUCAAUUCUUUUAUGUAAUACCAAGCUCUUCUUCCGUGAGAAUAGCAUCUCUUGAAUAUCAACAUGUCAACACAUAAAUAACAACUUUUCCAGUUCAAUUUUCAGUUCGGCCUUCGAGAUCAGUUAUGUUCAAGCCUUUCAAACAAA
rnacentral:lncRNA from 1 species